CACGUGGGAGUCCCCGAAGUUUCCAUAGCGAGGCCUCUCGGCGUCACAUGAUGGCCACGAUAUAAUGAAACAACAUUGUAGCGAAGGAAGCAGUGCCGGGCGGCGGCGAGAGAGGCGCGCACGGGAGGCGGAGAAAGUUCUCGGGCGCGCCGGCAGCAGCCCCGGGAACCCGGUGCGGCUUCGGGGAAGGGGCGUCGCUACGGGUAGGGCAGCAGAAGAGCCGUCCGCCCCGCUCCCUUCCCAGCCCGGAGCGAGAGGAACUUUGCGCGCCAGCCUGCGUGGGAAUUGCACCUGCUCCGGGCCGGAGAGCGCGCCUGGCCAUCAUAGGAUUGGAAGGGAUCCCGAGGAUCAUCUAGUCCAGCCCCCUACAAUGCUGGAAAAAGGGGGUCCGCGUGGAAGAUGAUGGGGUUUGGAAAUUUUUGCUUGGGGAAAAUUAUUUCCUCCCCCCCCCACUUCCUUUUUUCAUGUUCUUUGGGAAGAAAAGAGACCCGCGCCUGGAUCGCGAAGGUUCGGGGACCGCUCGGUUUGAGGUUCUCCGCACGUAGUUCUUCAUUAGAACGCUCUGUCUCUUUGUGAGGAGGGAACAUCAGCUCACGUUGGAAGGAAGGAUUUCAUCCCUGCAAGUGGAGAACCCCAUGCUUGUUUCCUAGGCAACUGCUCGCAGAAUCAUUUCGAAGGCUAAAGACUGUUGCACGAAGCAACAGGUUGUGCUAACAUCUCCUCCCAUCUUCCCCUCCCCGGAAGAUCACUUCCACGAUCCUCGUGUCGUUUCCAGCGGUGGUCGUGGGUUGUUCUUUUUAUACUGGUCUGGAACAUAAGGGGAUCUCUGCUGGAUUUGGAAAAUAGAUUCCGGGUGAUGGAGGAUUCCAUAGCCACACCUGAACAAUCCAUCCAUUUAAUGUCCAAGCUGAAUGUUUUUGAUGCAACGUGGGCCUGCUAUUUGUUGUCUACAGAAGGCCGAAGAGUCUCGUCUCUUCCUAAUAACCCUCCCCCUGCUCCUUUGGACUUCUCUUGCUGUGGCUCAGGAGCAGAGACCCGUCACUUCCACCUCCCACAGUGAUGUGGCCUCCACUGUGGGUAACUAGUGCACAAGUGUGCCUUUAAAAAACACAUAAGUAACCGCUUUCAGCUCAUCAGAGAGACGGACACUGUUUGGGGCAUGAAUAAGCAAGACCUCGGUCCACGGCUGUUGAGGAGAUAACAUGUUGGAAGUCCCAUCAUUUUCUGCCAUGGUGCAAAUGAACCAAAGGUAGGGGAUUGAGAAGGUUUUGUGUUCUGGCUUUGCAGGAAUCAGGGGAAUUGAUUUGAAGGGGAAGUCGUAGGAGCAGUCAGGAGCCAGGUGGUUAAUAAAUUCACACUCCACUCUUCCUCCCAAAGAACACGAAUAAUAAGACGUCUAGAAAUGAUGGCAAUGCAGAUGUAGACUGGGAAAGAGCCUUGCUUAAAAGACUUGUUGGACGAGGCCUUCCAUAGGCUUCCAGUAGACCAUGGUAGCAGGUAGGAGAGCUGGGGGGGACGGGACAUCAGGCCACCAAUGAGCCCCUUUGGUUUUAGGGAGCACAUGGGUAGAAGAGUCUAAAAGGCCCAAGACACAAAUUUUCACAGCCCUCUAGCAGCUGUGGCCGCUCAUUUACCAGAAGUACAGUGGUACUUCCGGUUGCGGACGGGAUCCAUUCCGGAGGUCCGGUCGGAUCCCGAGGUUUCUGCAACCUGAGGACUGCUUCUGUGCAUGUGUGCGGGGCAGAACUCGGUAAAAUACUUCCUGGGUUUGCCGCGCACACAUCCCGAAGUUUACGUAACCAGAGGGUUACGUAAAUGGAGGCAUUACUGUAAUGUAUUUACCGUUAACUCUGGAAGUGUAUCCCUGAUUCUGACCAAACGAAACUUCCUGAUGUACCUUUUACUCUAGGAAGAUACCGAAAACCCUUCCGCUUUGGAUGGAGCGGCCAGCCCUGCCCCACUGCUUCCCAGCUGCUGGGGUUCGGGGUUAGGAUUAUUUGGCCCACUGGUUGCCUUUGUUAUUCCUACUGAAAUAAUUGGGACCAAAGUUGCAACUCGCUUAUCCCAUUGAUUUCAGUGGGACCAAAGUGCAGUAGACGUAACGUCACUCCAGUCCAGCGGUUCCCAAGCUUUUUGAGGCCACCGGCCCCUCGGUUCCAUAAACUCAUCUCCAGUGCCCCCCCCCCUUAUAAAGGUAAGGGGACCCCUGACCAUUAGGUCCAGUCGUGACCGACUCUGGGGUUGCGGCGCUCAUCUCGCAUUAUUGGCCGCAGGAGCCGGUGUAUAGCUUCCAGAUCAUGUGGCCAGCAUGACUAAGCCGCUUCUGGCAAACCAGAGCAGCACACAGAAACGCUGUUUACCUUCCUGCCAGAGCGGUACCUAUUUAUCUACUUGCACUUUGAGGUGCUUUCAAACUGCUAGGUUGGCAGGAGCUGGGGCCAAGCAACAGGAGCUCACCCCGUCUCGGGGAUUCAAACUGCCAACCUUCUGAUCAGCAAGCCCUAGGCUCAGUGGUUUAGACAACAGCGCCACCUGGGUCCCUAUUACCCCCCCCUUAUAAAAAAAGCAUUAUUCAGAAGAGCCGUUUACACAGCCUGCAGAAGAAGUUGACGAUACAAUAAAAUCCAAGCGGUGGCAAUUGCACAUUUAUUCAAAAUCCAAUUGAAGUAAUUUAGUUUAAUUCGACGGAACUGAUAGUAUUGAUCCAGCUUUUCGAAGUCUGGCAGUCAUUUGCACCUCUAGCAUCCCCCUGCCUCCCCGCUUGCCUCUUAGUCCCACUCCCUGGGGGGCAGCCCUGCCCACUUUGUGAACCAGUGCUCCAGCCCAGUGUUUCCCAGACUUGGGUCUCCAGCUGUUUCCAGACUACAACUCCCAUUAUCCCUAGCUAGCAAGACCAGUGGUCAGGGAUGAUUGGAAUUGUAGUUUGAAAACAGCUGGAGACCCAAGUUUGGGAAACUGCUCUAGUCAAAUAGAUUUCAAGGUCCUUCUUCAGCCUAUUUCCUCCUUGCAAUUUGAAAAUAGGAAGCGUGGAAGUAGAAUGAAUUAUGAGAAAAGACAGCAACUAGAGAUGUGCAUUUAUGGAAUCCCUUGACUGGCGAAGGCCUGGAGAGCUUUCCCAACUGCUUGGCUGACUGCCACUGCUGCUUUUCCUUGUUUUGUUUUGUCAAUGUUUCCUGGUUUUGUUUCAUUUAUUCUUAUGCAAGUAUUGAUUUCUGUGGAAAGGCAGCCGGUCUCUCUAAACGGUAACAACAAAGGCAAUAAUUCUGAAUGCGGAUUUUGGCGUCUGUGACUCAGAAUGUGAUGCGUUGAGGGACUAUUCACUUGCUAGUUUUCUGGGGAGAAAUCUCAAACAGGUACAAGUCUCAGGUGUGCACACAUUCCUCCUGCUGUCCAGGGAGAGAAAAGUAGCCGCUGUGUUGAAAUACGCCGUGUUUAUUUGAGCAUGCUGUCUCCUUGAUCACCCAUUCGAAACCUCCCUUUCUUUCCAGGGACAGUUUGUUCUUAUUUAAGAGUGAAGACAGAAUUGCCAUUGGGAGGUGGCUCAAUAGUGCUGUCCCUGCCCUUCAAACAAACAAACACACAUCUCUCUGCUCUGGGUUGAAUAUUGCGGGCUCUUGGCAACUUAGUCAAGCUUGAGGUGGAGAAAAAACAUUGUGUCGGGUGCCUGUUGGCCAGCACCUGUGACAUCACCAACACAGUUUCCCCUCCAUCUUUAGAGCAACGGUUUUUAGAAUGCUUGGGAUUGUGUGCAUGUGUACUGUAUACAACUAGGAGCAGCAAGGAGGGGAGCGGCUUAUAUUCAGGGUUUUUCUUUACUUUUUUGCCCUCCAAUUUUAAAGGUGUGGCUUAUAUUGGGGUGUGGCUUAUAUUCGGGCCAAUACGGUAAGAACAUAACAAGAGACCAGUAGCCCAUCUAUUCCAUUAUCUUGUUCUCACAGUGUAUACCUAAGGGUGUAGGUCAGUAUACAAAUUUAAUACAUAAUAAUAAAUAAAAAUAACCAGGUGUCUAUAGCAAAACGCAUAAGCAAGACCUGAGCACAGUAGCCCUCUCCCCCCAGCAACUGAGAUGUACUGUCUCCAACAGCAGAAACAGGACACAACUAUUAUGGCUAGCAGCCAUUCAUAACCUUAUCCUUUAUGAAUUCGUCAAAUCUUAUUUUGAAGCCAUCCUUCUUACUUCUGUGAAGGAGGAAGUGAAGCUGCUUCUCUUCCUUUCUGUCUCUCGCUCUGCGCCACGUAACUGAGCAGCAUGGGCAUGUCUGAACUCGCUCCAAGUUCAGGCUGCAUGCUUGAAACUGCAUUCCGUAUUUUGCACCCGAGUAUUCUACCUGUGUUUUCCUUGCUGCUGCAUGGAGCAAUGCAUGAACAAACCUUUGGGUUUUGUAAGUAAAGCUUUUGUCUGUUCAUUGCCAGGGGCUGUAAGCAAACGAAGCAGGAUCUGAAAAAGGUUCUAACAACCUGUAUUCCAUGCUAUACUGCUGUCUGCCGGGGGCUCUCUCCCACUGAAGAGUGUGCAAACCCCAUUCUUUUGAAUCUAGGUGCCCAGUCAAUUUUUAAAUUAAUUUUCCACACGUGGGUCAGAUCUAUUUUCCACCUCCACAUAAAAACACGCAGUGUCGCACAGCUAAGUCUCCUUGUCCAGCUGGGUGCUGCUUGCAAAUAGGACCAAUUCCUCUGACACAAAAAGCCAGAAAAACAAACCCCAAAGCCGCAAUAUGGUUCACUCACUGUGAAGAACCUUUCACUUGCCAUUAAGAUGACACCUCUGGCUUAAUAAUAAAGUGAUUUAUUGCUCCGCUGCUUCUGAGCAUCUUUCCGAUGGGAGAUGAAGCUUCUUGUUCUCUUCCCUUUCCUCCCCCCGCCCAAAAGAAGAUGUUAGAUGUUUUAAAAGGCAACAGAAUGUGUAUGUUGCAAUGUGCAGUGUGUUUAAUUUACGAUCUCCUGCUUCUUGCGGCAGUUAAACAGUGUGAGUGGGUGGGGAAGACAUAUCCUCGGGAGGAAGAGGGCUGCUAAAUCAUUCCGACUGGUGUAGUGAUUCAGUCUGCUGGCGACUUGUUGAAAGUCUUCUCUGCACGCUUGUUUCAGCUUACGAGAAAUCGAUCCCAUAUGCAUGAGUAAACCGUCUCCGCAACAGGGGCACGAAUGCUUAAGAUACGGCUCUGUGUACUCUCCCUCUUAAACAGAAGCAACGCCUGCUCUCUGCAGAAGAAAACACAUGUCACUGAAGCUGGCUUGAUCUUCCCCACUGCUUCUCCAUUAAAAUCCAGUUAUGAGCCACUGUGGUCUGCUGGGUGCAGCUUUACAUUUGGUCCUGGAGUAGGGGUGGGCAAGCUGUGGCCUCUCAAUGUUCUUGUACUUUAGUUCCCAUAAGCUUCGGUGUCAGGAAUAAAUCGCACAGAGCAAGUGAAGUUAACUCUUUAUUAGAAGAAACAAGGUCUGCUCAGGAGUGCCAGGCCUAUUGAGCACAGCAAGUCUUCUUGGUAGGUCUUGCCCCCAUGAGGCAGUUGUGGAGCUGAUGGUCUCUGCCUUCCCACAGUUGCCUAAAUCUCUUCUUCCCCUGGGCCCUUCCCAAGCAAUCUGAAACUCUGCCACUGCGUCUGUGUUUCUGCUCUUCCCUCUUCAUACCUCUCGUGGUCCUGGGAGUGAGAGCAGCUUGUUCCCAGGUUUGAUCUCCGUCAUCUCUCCAGGAUGUCCACUACCUGAAACGAUGGAGAGGUACUGCCAGUCAGUGUAGUCAGUACUGAGCUGGAUGGGCCCAGUGGUUUGAUUUAGUACUGUAUGUUCCUAUUAUGACAGGCUUUUGCUCAAAUAGUGCCUUCUUGACUGUCCUAUGUGUGCACCGAGUUGAAAUAGCUGGGAGAUUCCCUUUGGAUGAUUCCCUUACAGUUGUGUGACUCUUACUAGGGAAAGUUCAACCUGGAAGAGGGCACUUUCUGGAGGAGCUACAAAACAUGGAGCUAGCGUUUAUAAAGGUAAAGGGGCCCCUGACCAUCAGGUCCAGUCGUGCCCGACUCUGGGGUUGCGGCGCUCAUCUCGCUCUAUAGGCCGAGGGAGCCGGCGUUUGUCCGCAGACAGCUUCCGGGUCAUGUGGCCAGCAUGACAAAGCUGCUUCUGGUGAACCAGAGCAGCGCACGGAAAUGCCAUUUACAUUCCUGCCGGAGCGGUCCCUAUUUAUCUACUUGCACUUUGAUGUGCUUUCGAACUGCUAGGUGGGCAGGAGGGAGCUAGCGUUUAAUGACCUGGAUUAAGCAGGUGUGGGGUAACAGUUAUAUUUUAACACCUGUGCUUUGUUCUUGUUUCUUUUCUUCUUUUUUAAAAAAGGUACUCACCUGCCCUGAGCCCUUGGCAAGGGGCAGGAUAGAAAACAAUUGAAAUACGAUUCGUCACCUUCAAUUUAUAUCGGAAUGAUUGGGCUAAAUCAUGGCUUUGAGGGUUGUAGAUUUUGGCCUGGAUCCCACAUAAAGCUAAACCAUGGUUUAGUGUUACAAGGGCAAGCCACGGUGAACUGUGGACUCCCCCACCCAUCUCUGGGGGAGGUGGAGGAGAUCAGAAGCUUCUGUUUUGAAUUGAUCACAGUUUAGCGUUAGUAUUAUGUUGAUGCCUGUAUUGCAGGAUUUCUGUAACCGUGAUUACAGAAAACAAGCCAACUUUGUAAACCAUGGUUUGAUGUUAGCCUGUUUCGACUAACUGUAAUUAAGGCUAACCAUGGCUUGUCUGGGUUCGGAUUAAGAUGGCAAGCUGUGGUUAAUCUAAAAUUGAAGCAAAAGCUUCUGAGCUCUUGGGGAGGGCAGCUCACAAGAGUGUGAGGCUCACUGCAGCUCAUCCUUGUAAUUUAAAGACCAUUCAACUUUAUGCAGCCAUAGCAAGCUUAGAUCUAGGUUUGGGGUUCUCAAAACAUUUCAGAAAACCUGACUGUUCUAUAACCAUCUGAAACAAACAGUGCAGUGGAGAUGUGGGUUGUCAAGUGUGCAAGACCCUCUUCAGUCUCCUGAUAUUCCAAGAUAUUCUGGUUCUUCAAAAUAUGUACUUGUGUGUACGGCAUUGAACGUCAUAAGCGUGUGUCUGUGUGCGUGGGCUUGCACAUGGUACACAAUGUAACGAACGCAUCUAAUCUUCGCAGGUAUGCUUUGAAGAUUGAUUCCUGAGCAGCCUCUUUUGGCGAUUGUAUGCUACUUGUCUCUUGAAGGAUGAGGAGCGCAUGUAUAGAAAUGUCAUGGGUUUCGUGAAGUGCUGCAGAUUAUUAUUUGGUGUGUGAGUUGCUGUUUGCGUUCCCUGACCCCCCCCCUGUCCCUGGUGAAGUGCUUCUCCCCCUCCUCAAAAGGCUAAGGUGGGAUUCGGAAGGGCGUUUGUUCCCGGCAAUAAAGGAGAUUGAUGGAGUUGUUCUGAUUAAACUGAAAAUCGGCACCAGUGUGUGUGUCUGUGUGCAUGAAGCAGCGGAAGGAACGGCUCAUAUUACAUAUCUUUGUGCAUAAUAAAAUGGUUCUUAGGGGUGGGUGGGAGAAAUCAAACACUCUGUCCACGAGGCCUUGAAGGGUCAGUUCCUAGGGUCAGUUCCUAGGGUCACUAAGGAGUGCUUCAAAUGACCCAAUGUGCCAGCUUUGAAAAUGGACACAGGUGUUCCCUUGAUCUCUCAACCCAUCUCUCCCGUUUAAUUGUUGCGUUGUUUUAAUGGGAUUGAUUGAUAGCACAUUUUAGUUUGCAUUUUAGUGUUUUGUUGUGUUCAACUGUGGAUAUUUAUAUUUAGUGUUUGUGUAAUUGGUUUUUUUUUAAAAUAGAUACAGGAUACACUUGUGAAAGACUUAGAAACCUAUUUGGACAUUGUUGUUGUUUAGUCGUUUAGUUGUGUCCGACUCUUCGUGACCCCAUGGACCAUAGCAUGCCAGGCACUCCUGUCUUCCACUGCCUCCCGCAGUUUGGUCAAACUCAUGUUCGUAGCUUCAAGAACACUGUCCAACCAUCUCGUCCUCUGUCGUCCCCUUCUCCUUGUGCCCUCCAUCUUUCCCAACAUCAGGGUCUUUUCCAGGGAGUCUUCUCUUCUCAUGAGGUGGCCAAAGUAUUGGAGCCUCAGCUUCACGAUCUGUCCUUCCAGUGAGCACUCAGGGCUGAUUUCCUUCAGAAUGGAUAGGUUUGAUCUUCUUGCAGUCCAUGGGACUCUCAAGAGUCUCCUCCAGCACCAUAAUUCAAAAGCAUCAAUUCUUCGGCGAUCAGCCUUCUUUAUGGUCCAGCUCUCACUUCCAUACAUCACUACUGGGAAAACCAUAGCUUUAACAAUACGGACCUUUGUCGGCAAGGUAAUGUCUCUGCUUUUUAAGAUGCUGUCACUGGCUCUGGCUCCCCAUCUGGGCUGUAGGCUCCAUCCCAGCCCAUCUUUUGACUUAUUAAUUUAUAUACCAUUUGGACAUGAAGUGGUAUAUAAAUUAAUAAGUCAAAAGAUGGGCUGGGAUGGAGCCUACAGCCCAGAUGGGGAGCCAGAGCCAGUAAUGAAGCUCAUGCCAUGGAGCAGGAUGCCCUCUGGAUGUUGUUGGACUCCAACCCCCAUCAGCCCCAGCCAGCAUGGCCAGCAGUCAGGAAUGAUGGGAAUUGGAGUCUGGCAGCACUUAUAGAAUCAUGGAAUUGUACAGCUGGAAGGGACUCUGAGGAUCACCUAUCCCAACCCCCUGCAAUGCAGGAAUCUCAGCUAAAGCAUCCGUGGCAGAUGACCAUCCAACCUCUGCUUAAAAACCUCCAAGGAAGGAGAGCCCACCACCACUGUUUGAAACUCCCAUUGUUCUAGGCACAGUUUGCGACAGGGAAUUUCAUUAGCACAAGCAGUUUCUUAGCUCUGGGCACAGUACUGCCUCUAAGAUUUCAGAUUAAAACUGCAGAGUGGAAGGAAAGGAGGACCUUUUUCUGCCUCCCCAGCCACUCUCUGAAGACUGGAGAAGAGACCCUCUUAAGAAUAUUAGGAGGGCGGACGGGCAGGGGAAGGACUAUAGACCAUGUGAAAAAGGAAUAUAAUAUUUUAGCUGGAAGUUCAUUCAUUUUCAGCUUUAUAUUCUUGUUAUAAAACAGUGUGCCUAGACAUUCCAUUGCUGUGCCCAUAACCUAGGUUUGAGGUACCAUUUAGCUCCUAGCAUUCAUAUCUCAGUUUCUAACCCUGUCCACCACCUCCUGAAGAAGACUGUUCCACUGUCAAGCAGCUCUUACCAUCAGAAAGUUCUUGUAACUUCAAGCCAUUGGUUUGGGCACAGCAUGGGCUACCUCUCAUCAUGGAGGUUAUGACAGGAUAAAGCUGAGGAUCAAGGGAAUGUGAGGGAUCCAAAUGAGUAGCAGGGGUGCCAUAUUCUAGUGGUCCAAUGCCAGAUUCCAUGAAAGAGGAGGCAAGGCUGGUGAAAAGUUUCAGCACCACGGAUAGCUCCAAGUGAGCCACUUGCUCCAGCGAAGGCUAUGAGAAGCCUUUUUGAUUUCCUACUCUCAGACUUCCUCUCUCACACUCCACCUCACUCUAGAAUCUUCUCUAGACCCCACAGCCUGAAGAUGGACACCCCUCCCCUGUUUCCUGCCCUCCAGUCGUGCACUCCCUGCACAGCUGGACUGCUGAGGUUCUGGGAGAAUAAUAGAAUCAUAGAGUUCGAAGAGACCACAAAGGCCAUCCAGUCCAACCCCCUGCCAAGCAGGAAACACUAUCAAAGCAUUCCUGACAGAUGGCUGUCAAGCUUCUGCUUAAAGACCUCCAAAGAAGGAGAUUCCACCACACUCCUUGGCAGCAAAUUCCACUGCCGAACAGCUCUUACUGUCAGGAAGUUCUUCCUAAUGUUUAGGUGGAAUCUCCUUUCUUGUAGUUUGAAUCCAUUGCUCCGUGUCCGCUUCUCUGGAGCAGCAGAAAACAACCUUUCUCCCUCCUCUAUAUGGCAUCCUUUAAUAUAUUUGAACAUGGCUAUCAUAUCACCCCUUAACCUUCUCUUCUCCAGGCUAAACAUGUCCAGCUUCCUAAGCCGUUCCUCAUAAGGCAUCGUUUCCAGGUCUUUGACCAUUUUGGUUGCCCUCCUCUGGACACGUUCCAGCUUGUCAGUAUCCUUUUUGAACUGUGGUGCCCAGAACUGGAGACGGUACUCCAGGUGAGGUCUGACCAGAGAUACAGUGGUACUAUUACUUCCCUUCUAGAUGCUAUACUCCUAUUGAUGCAGCCCACCAGAGGCAUCUGCUUUCUCCUGUGCAAAGGAAGAUGCCUGUGAGGGCCCAGAUUCUGGCUCUACAGAUAUAGGAGGUUCUUCUGGGGGCUCUUGUUCCUUAGUCUCAGUUGUCUCCUGAUAUUUAUUAAUUCAUUUAUUGCGUUUCUACCCCACUUUCUUCUCCGAGAAGCUCAAGGUGGGAUACAUGGUUCUCCGCCUGCCUCGUUUAAUCCCUCACAACAAACCUGCGAGGUAGGUUAGACUGAUGGAAUGCUGUGACUGGCCCAAGCUGCCCCCCCCCGUGAGCCUUACAUGGCCAAGUGGGGAGCUGAACCAUGGUCUGCCAGGUCCUAGCCCGACACUCUAACCACUACACCACCAUGCCAGCUCUCUUCAGUGGCAAGCUCAGAGGCCUGCACCUGGUCUGCCUCCUUCGCUGGAGAGCCUGCUUGGAUCUUGACUGCUGCUGGACUCUGGGGUCAUGACAAGGAAAGGGGAAAGGUGGCAAAGGAUUGGCCUUGUAGGUACUAAAGGGCAGCAGGCUAGAUAGUGGCUCUGGCAAUCCUGUUUAUUAACAUUUUCCUGGCUUGAGAGGCCACAACACCCGUGGCAAUUUCAGAAGAUGAUAUCUGAAGAAGUAUCAGAUAUCAGAUGGGUAUCUGAAGAAGUGGGCAUGCAUGCGAAAGCUUAUACCAAGAACAAACUUAGUUGGUCUCUAAGGUGCUACUGGACAAUUAAAUAAAUAAUUUAUACCCCGUCCAUCUGGCUGGGUUUCCCCAGCCACUCUGGGCGGCUUCCAACAGACAUUAAAAUACAACAAUCUAUUAAACAUUAAAAGCUUCCCUAAACAGGGCUGCCUUCAGAUGUCUUCUAAAAGUCUGGUAGCUGUUUAUCUCUUUAACAUCUGGUGGGAGGGCGUUCCACAGGGUGGGUGCCACUACCAAGAAGGCCCUCUGCUUGGUUCCCUGUAGCUUGGCUUCUCGUGGCGAGGGAACCGCCAGAAGGCCCUCAGUGCUGGACCUCAGUGUCUGGGCAGAACGAUGGGGGUGGAGAUGCUUCUUCAGGUAUACUGGACCGAUGCCAUUUAGGGUUUUAAAGUUCAGCACCAACACUUUGAAUUGUGCUCGGAAACGUGCUGGAAGCCAAUGUAGGUCUUUCAAGACCGGGGUUACGUGGUCUCGGCGGCCGCUCCCAGUCACCAGUCUAGCUGCCGCAUUCUGGAUUAAUUGCAGUUUCCAGGUUGCCUUCAAAGGUAGCCCCACGUAAAGCGCAAUGCAGUAGUCCAAGCGGGAGAUAACCAGAGAUUGCACCACUCUGGCAAGACAGUCUGUGGGCAGGUAGGGUCUCAGCCUACAUACCAGAUGGAGCUGCCCUGGACACAGAAUUGACCUGCGCCUCCAUGGACAGCUUUGAGUCCAAAAUGACUCCCAGUCUGCGCAUCUGGUCCUUCAGGGGCACAGUUACCCCAUUCAGGACCAGGGAGUCCCCCACACCUGCCCGCCUCCUAUCUCCCAAGAGCAGUACUUCUGUCUUGUCAGGAUUCAACCUCAAUCUGUUGGCCGCCAUCCUUCCUCCAACUGCCUCCAGACACUCACACAGGACCUUCACCGCCUUCACUGCCGCUAUAUAUCGACUGCAUCUGACCAACACGGGUACCUACCUGAAUCAUCUUAAACUAUUCACCUAAUAUAUGGGGCUUGACAAUCGGUCAACGUAAAUGGAUUCUCAUCUGCAAAAAGAUUGUUAUUGACACAUUGGAAGGACAAAACAUGACCUCCUUUGAGUAAUGGAUAGAUAAUAGAAUCAUGGAAUCUUAGAGCUGAAAGGGACUCAAAGGUUCUCUAGUCCAACCCUCUGCAAUGCAGGAAUCUCAGCUAAAGCAUCCAUGACAGGUGGCCGUCCAACCUCUGCUUUAAAUCCUCCAAGGAAAGAGAGUCCACCACCUCUCGCGGGAGUCUGUUCCACUCCCGAACAGCUUUUACCGUCAGAAGGUUUUUUCUGAAUGUUUAGUCAGAAUCUCCUUUCUUGUAACUUGAAGCCAUUAGUUCAAGUCCUACCUUCCAGAGCAGAAGAAAACAAGCAUGUUCUAUCUUCCAUGUGACAGCCCUUAAGAUAUUUGAAGAUGGCUAUCAUAUCUCCUCUCAGUCUCCUCUUUUCCAGGCUAAGCUAAGCUCCUUCAAGCAUUCCCCGUAAGGUCAGACCCUUGAUCAUCUUGGUUGCCCUCCUCACACAUUCCAGCUUGUCAACGUCCUUAAACUGUGGUGCCCAGAAUUGGACACAGUAUUCCAGGUGUGGUCUGAACAAAGCAGAAUGCACCCUAUGAAUGAAUCGCUUUCAGGCGAAGAUAUACAUGGACAUACAGUGGUGCCUCGCUAGACGAAUGCCCUGUAAGACAAUUUUUUCACUUAACGAAGAGAUUUUUCAAGCGGAGGUUGCCUCACAAGACGAAUUCGUUUUGUGAAAAAUUCAUCUAGCGAAUUGCGGUUUCCCAUAGGAAUGCAUUGAAAUUCAAUUAAUGUGUUCCUAUGGGCAAAAUAAUAAUAAUAAUAAUCAUAAACAUUCAAUGCAUUCCUAUGGGAUUCGCUAGACGAAUUUUUCGUUAUACGAAUUGACCCGUGGAACGAAUUAAAUUCGUCUAGCGAAGCACCACUGUAUGUAAUGAUGUUUGGAACAUAUUUGUUGAAACCAUAGUGAGCCAUGGUUUCAUGGGUCUUGAGCGAAACAAUUCGUUUAUCCAUUUACAUACUGUAUAGUUUUGUAACAGUAACUAUAUUUGACAGUUAUUUUGUUUUUCUUGUUUUAAAAAUGUUUUUUCAUGUUUCCUCUUUUCCCUUUUUCUAAUUUUUAAUAUACUUUUAAUUUAUACUAUAAUAAUCUCAAUAAAAUAUAAACAUAAUACAUUAAAAGAAGAACAACAGCGAAACUCUUGGUAAAGAGCUAGAAGACUGGAGUGACACACAUCCCUGAGCUUCUGGAACCAAACUGAAAGCCACACUGGGAUGUACUAGAAAUCCUCUUAACUGAGUCAUAAUUGCUACCGCCUGCUUUCCCCACUCCCAACCCACGUCAUGUUGAUGGUCCAACUGCACCUCAUUGCUGUCCCCUUCCUCCUCCGUUCCUAAUACUGCCUUGGUGAGCUAUUAAAGUAAUAGUGGAUAGUUCCAUUCUCAGAACAAAGGAACCCACGAUUCAUGUUUCACUAGUAAAAUAUUCAUAAUGGUAAUGGCUUAGAUUACUCUUUCUUGAUGGUUCUCACUUGAAUGAGAGGAAUUUGUACCGUAUGUGUUCUGGUUGAGUGGUUAAAAAAAAAAUCAAUGUCAAUAAAUAACUAUGACUCAAAGUUCUUCUUAAAGCCACAGCUUUCCUAAGCAGGAGUAAGUUUCCCCAGAGUAGGUGUGAGCAGUUGGCUUGAGAUGAUGACCUCCAUGAUCGCCCUUUUUUCGUAGCAGUUGCAUGUACGUCGAUAGAGCCAUGUUUAUCCCAGGUAAAAAGGUAAAGGUAAAGGGACCCCUGACCAUUAGGUCCAGUCGUGACCGACUCUGGGGUUGCGGCGCUCAUCUCGCGUUAUUGGCCGAGGGAGCCGGCGUACAGCUUCCAGGCCAUGUGGCCAGCAUGACAAAGCAGCUUCUGGCGAACCAGAGCAGCACAUGAAAACGCAGUUUACCUUCCCGCUGUAGCGGUACCUAUUUAUCUACUUGCACUUUGACAUGCUUUCGAACUGCUAGGUUGGCAGGAGCUGGGACCGAGCAACAGGAGCUCACCCCAUCACAGGGAUUCGAACAGCCGACCCUCUGAUCAGCAAGCCCUAGGCUCAGUGGUUUAACCCACAGCGCCACCUGGGUCCCUUAUCCCAGGUAGUUCGGCUUAUUUAUUUAUCUAUUUCAUAAAAUUUCUACACUGAUUGAUGUGACAAAACAACAGCAACCAAACGCCACGAAGCAGUUUACAAACAGAUGGAGCAAUAAAACCGAGGGGAAAAUUACAGCGGUGGUUUAAAAAAUGCAAAAAGUUCAGUACUAAAACCAGGUCAAAGUGCACACCCACUUUCUAAGCAUCUGGGUCGGCUUGCCUAAACAAGAAUGUUUUUUAGCAGGUCCCGAAAAGAUUACGGUGAAAGCACCUGCUUGAUCUCAAGAGGCAGGGAGUUCCAAAGUGCACCGAACAAUCGUAUUGUUACACAUGUGGAAUGGGUAUUGUGUGGCACCUGUAGUAGAGGCAACAACCCUUUUGCGGUCCCUAAGGCGGUUGGAUGGCGCCUUGUCCACCUCCUUCCGGCGACUCCUGCAGCCAAGUUGGUGCCAAACAUCUUGCUCUGCUUUCCUUUGGAUCCCAUCAGUGAGGCCGAGAGAGGGGUCUUGUCAUCUGGGCAGCCCAGGACCUCCAAGCACACUGCCCAGGCUUGCGCCCCGGGGUGGUCACUUCGGUGCUUCUGACGCAGCGGUUUUGCUUCACCCCCAGAUGUGCACUCCAUUGUCUCUUGAGACAGACAAAUGCCAACAACUACAACUAUUAUUAUGCUCCGUAAAGUAUGUUAUUACUGGGGUUUUCUGCCACCAUGGUAGGGGAAGAAUGAGGACCAGUGAGCUUUUCUCUCCAGGAAACUGGUGGUUUUUUUUUGAGGGACCCCAUAGAUUUCCUCCAAAUGCCAUCUGGAUACGAUUCCCCAGUGCCACUUAAUGCGCAGCCGUCUUAUUGCUGGCAGACACAAACUGAUGAAAUAAUUGUUUGUUUCAUUUUGCGUUUUGUUGAUUUGCUUGCUAUCUGCUCUCAGCAAAGCUGCAGUUUUGUUUUCCAAUUGUCCUCCCACAGGUGGCCUUGCCUGCUGAUGGGAAACUGCAGUCUGAACAAUUAGAUGUGCGUAUUGGCGUUUAUAUAUAUUUAGGAAGAGUUGCCUUCAGAAUGUGCUGUGUGAAAUGGUGCGAGUGGAGAGAACACUUCGUAGCAAUUUCUAGAUUGGUAUGAACAACGCCGUUUGAUUGUUGUCGUUUGUAUACAUGUUUCCUCAGCUGCGCUUUAAAAAAGUAUUUCUUUCAUUAAAGUGCAUUAUCUGUUUUCUCAUACUCAGUGUGCAGAGGGACCAGCCUAUUGGAGCUUUUGUUGUCAGAACAGGAGUGUGUAAAGCCAGGAAAAAUAAAUCUUAUACCUUAUUUAUGUACAUUUAUAUACAAUCUCUCUCUCUCUCUCUCUCUCUCUCUCUCUCUCUCUCUCUCUCUCUCUCUCUCUUAGAGAACUUGUGGUACCUUUCAUCUUCCUGUCAGAAAGGAAAGGCAUUCUGCACAUGGCCAGGGGUACUUUGCCAUUAGAAUACCCUCUCCACGAACACACCCCAUUUUUUCAUUUGGGACAAAGGCUACGUUGGUUCCAUUGGUGGAGUUUAACUCCUAGACACACAGGCACACACUGUGUCUUACUGUAGGCAGGAUCGGUUGCAGAGACCUUUGACCGAUCCAUUUGUAAGGGACCAAGGAAUGAAGGCCGUAACCAGAAAAACUGAGUUGCCCCACCUCUCAGAUCCAGAGUAAAUUACACAGGAUUUAAACCCCAACAUAAUUGAUGAUGAUGAUAAGCAAUAGAACACCAGACAUUAAAAAAUUUCCCUAACAGGGCUGCCUUCAGUUAUCCUCUGAAAGUCAGAUAGUUGUUUCUUUCCUUCACAUCUGACAGGACGGCGUUCCCCAGGGUGGGCGCCACCACUGAGAAGGCCCUCUACCUGGUUCCCUGUAGCUUCACUUCCUGCAGUGAGGGAACCGCCAGAAGACCCUUGGAGCUGAAUCUCAGUGUCUGGGCUGAACGAUGAGGGUGGAGACACACCUUCAGGUAUAUUAUCACGAGAGCCAAUGGAAGGUGCUUCAAGGGGUGAAUCCAAACAACUGCGUUUGGAGCACCCAGGUGAGCUCUCUGGGGCACAAGGCUGGGCAGUGUGCAUGGAGAUCCUGGGCUGCCCAGGCAGCAAGAACCCCCCCCCUAGACCUCCAAAGGAAAGCAGAGCAAUAUGUUUGGCCAGUCUCACCCGUGGAGCGCUAAAACCUAGGAGAAGCGUUUGUGGCUCUGUGAAUUCCUGUUCCUCAAACACGUGAGAGCACAAAAGCACAUGUACACUGUGGUAGCCGGGGAACGUUGCUUUGCUUGCAGAGAGCCAGUUUCCAUGGCGAUGGAGCCCUUGAUGGAGUUGUAAUAAGCUGAACGCAUCUUGCUCCCACCUCCUUUAUUUGCCGUCAAUCAGGAACGGCGACUUUGCCAGGAAGGUUCACCCCCCUCUCUUUGCUUGCUUUUUUGGCGGUGGUUUCCAUAGAAUUUCGUUCCAUCUCUUUUCUCCCAGCCCACUGCCUUUUCUCUCUCCACUCCCCGGCACCCGCUGCCCAUGUCAGGUUUCAAUGUCGGCACUCAAGUGUUAACGUGGCGUCCAAAAAAACGGCGCAGCCUAAUUGAAAUUCCUUCUCCCCGUUUUGCCUUUUGCUGUGUCAAAAGAGAUGCUUAAGGAUUCCGCAAGCGUUUCCCCCCCAGGAAAAGUGUGUGUGUUUGCAUGUAGAAAUCUCUGCAAACCGUUUGCAUACUGAGCACCAGCUGCUGAUUCCAGUCGGUGUUUAUAUCCCGUUUCACUUAUUGGAGGGGGGGGGGGGAGAUAUGUAGAGUCCAGUUUCCCAACAUUUAUAUUGAGGUAAUAUUUAUUUUUAUUUAUACCACCAGUCGUGCCCUCAAAACACUCACUCUCUUGCAAACCUGUGUAUGUCAGAACUGAAUGCAUGCCUUCCUGCUCCUGGUGCAUGGGCAAAAAAUAAUUCUGGCACGGCUUUCCCUCCCCCAGUUCUGAGCAAGGCAGAAGCUAUCGUGACGGAACCAGCCUCUGCUUAGACUAGGAAACUUGUGGUCAGUUGGGUUCGGGUUUACAUGGCAAAAUGACGAGGCUCUGGGGCAGGCAUGUCAAACAUGCGGCCCUCCAGAUGUUUUGGCCUACAACUCCCAUGAUCCCUAGCUAGCAGGACCAGUGGUUGGGGAAGAUGGGAAUUGUAGUCCAAAACAUCUGGAGGGCCGCAGGUUUGACAUGCCUGCUCUGGGGGAUGCAGCCACACUCCUUCAGGUGGGAUUUAGAUUUGGGAUUGUGUGGUGACAGUAAAUUAAGAGCUCUCGCACAAGAAACCCGAUUAUGUCCCCCUGCUCCAAGCUGGACAUUUUUGCAGUAAGGAAAGUAGUGGAGAAACCGCACUGGGAAAUGUGGGUUAACAUUUGCUUGAUGCAACGUCGUGUGACCUCCCUGAAGGCAGAUCAAAAGGAAUGCUGCAUUGAUAGUGCAGAUGAAUGAGGAUGAAUGAUCAGUAAACAACUUGUCUGGACGCAGCCUGGGACACUUGCAUUUAAUUGCUUUGGGAUAAAUCAGGGCCCAUUGACUUGGCAAAAUGAUGAGAAUGUGGAUUGCCUUUCUUCUUGGGGUGAAGGUUGUUGUGAAAUGUAUCCCCCCCCCCCCCGGUGAGAAUGGCACACACUCCUGGUAUGCCCCGCAGAGGACCUUACGGUCCACAAACAAUAACACCUUGGAGGUCCCGGGCCUCAAGGAGGUAAGACUGGCCUGUAUGAGGGCCAGGGCCUUUUCGGCUGUGGCCCCGGCCUGGUGGAACAUUCUGUCGCAAGAGACCAGGGCCCUCCAGCACUUGACGUCUUUCCACAGGGCCUGCAAGACGGAGCUGUUCCGCCAGGCCUUUGUUUGGGGCCCAGUCUGACCCCCCCUCUUUUUUGUUAUAAGACCCAGUGUGUAAGUAGCCUCCCUAGCCCUUUCCACCGGCUCAUAUAAGAGCAGCACCAACAGUUAGGCCUGGUGACCACUCAGUGAUCUCCCUCCCCUGUAGUUAUAAUCUCUGGGUUGCCAUCUGAUUUUAUUCUGCGCCAAAUUUGAUUUUAAGAUGUAUUUUAAUUGAUUGUUUGAUUUAUGUUUUUCAUGUAUCAUACUUUGAUGUUAGCCGCCCUGAGCCUGGUCCUGGCCAGGGGAGGCGGAGUAUAAAUAAAUUUAUUAUUAUUAUUAUUAUUAUUAUUAUUAUUAUUAUUAUUAUUAUUAUAAAUUAUUAUUAUUAUUAUUAUUAUUAUUAUUACUGCUGCUACAUGUCAGCACAAGUUUACUAUGUUUUGGGGGCAUGGAAGAGUCCAAAAUAGUGCCCCCAGUGGCAUGGUAAAUGUGAGCAAAAUUGUGCGUCCCCCGAAUGUUUUUAUGGCCAGACACUGUGGACACUUGCAAGCUAGCAAAAAGCUUGAGCAUCAAGGCAGAGCUUGUCUUCUUCUGCUGGCAGAGAGGUUGAAGUGACACCACACUGAUGAGGAGAGGAAACUGGCCAGCUGCUACAGAUGCAAGAGCUGCCUUAUCCCGAGUCAGACCAUCAGUCCAACUAGCCUAGUAUUGUCUGCACUGACUGGCAGUAGCUCUGCAGGGUUUCAGAAAGCGAGCCUUUCCCAGCCCCACCUGGAGGUUCUGGAAACUGAACCCAGGACCUUCUGCGUGCAAAGCAGAUGCUUCCCCACUCGGCUGCAGUCCAAAAUGUGGCAGUACGGUUUGCUUCAGGAAUAUGUACCCCUAUUCAUUUUUUAAAAACAAUACUAGCUUCACGGAGGCUGGCAGAUGACAGGAGCGAGUCAGCAGGUAACCACACCGAGCAAGCUGGAGCUAGCUCUAUAUUAGCAAAGCAGGAUCUGCACAAGAGAGCAGAAGUGCCUAAUGAGCACAGCAACUGGGGUCUUGCCCCAAUGGGUCAGUUGCCAAGACUAAAGGUCCCCGCCUCCCCACAGCUGCCCGAGUCCCCUCCUCUCCAGUGUUUUUUUUCUGAGCAAACGGAGACCGCGCUUGUGUGCCUGUCUUUGCUCCUCCCUCUUCAUGCCUCUCCUGGUUCUGGGAGAUUGAGGGGGAAGAGCUUAUUGCAGCAGGAGGGGGAGACACCCGUGACUUCACCAGCUUGACCCAUCUCUAACCCCCCCCCCCCACCGCUCGCUAGCCUCCUCUUCUGCCUCUGAUUCUGGACUUCUCUCUACCACAGAUUCUUCCUGCUCACUAAACCCUGUUGCCUCCCCAGCUUCCUACACCACCUCCUCCCAUACCUGCCAAGUUGCUGUCAGAAAAAUAAGGGACCGGGCCGGAAAUAGCAGACCGGAAGUAGUGCUGCCGCCAUUUUGGAACUGGGUGGAGCAUGCUCAGAAGUGACUUUUGAUGCUGCUUUGCCCAGUUCCAAAAUGGCCGCUGCGCCAGAAGUCUCACUGCAGCCAUUUCGGAACUGGGGAGAGCAGCAUAAAAAGUCGCUUCUGAGCAUGCUCCGCCCAGUUCCAAAAUGGCCGCCGCGCCAGAAUAAACCGGGGGGAAACAAAAAAAAUCUGUUUUUUCAGCUAGGAACAGCUGGAAAAACGGGAGACUUGGCAGCUAUGCCUCCUCCCAGUCUUCUCCCUCUGACCACUCACUGUCCUCCCACCACCAGUCCCCUGAAUCUGAGCCUUCUUCCCUUGGGAGUUCCCCACCUGGUACCUCCCACCGUUCCUCUGCAUCCAACCAGCAAAGGAGGAAUAGAGGCAGGAAGCUUCCUUAUAUUGACCCAGAGCCACUGCUCUACCUGCCUGAGUAUUGUUUUGCUUGCCUGCACAACAGGUGCUUUGCCACUGAGCUUUGACCCUUCCCUGUAGAAGCAAAGACAAAAAGCCCAAUGCUUUUGCCUUCCCUUGCACUGAUCAUUCUGGUUGCCCCUCCCAAACACCUUUAGCCCCGUGAGCUAACCCCCUCCUCCUGUGCUUCUGUGUGACGGCUCUUCUUAAGCGUGUCUCUCGGUUUGGGAGAGGGCAAGCUCAGAGCAGGGACUCACGCAGAGACAGAGCAGGCAGGCUCCCAGUUGCCCAGUUUUGCAACCCAGCGCCGACGUGCUUGUACACUCACCUUGGGAAUCUGUGGUAGAGGCUGAUGAGUCAUUGCUUGCCGUCUGGGCUGAUACGAAACAGCCCCAGUCAUUAUUGUUAACGCGAUAUUCAGGCGGCAAACGGCUCUGUAUUCAACUCGGGAACUUUUUGUUUGACGGCACUGUCUUCCUUGCUCUCUCUCUUUUAAAGAAAAAUACUUUCGAAAUCCUAGCGGUGGUUGUUUUCGAAAAAAGGAAAACCACAAGCUUAUUUUAAUGAGGAGCACUUAGAGGAGCACUUUAGUUUCAAAUACAGAUUGAGAUUUGUUUUCUGCAAAGAUGGGGGAGGGGGGGCAUCAACUGUCAAAAAGCGCCGCUUGCAAAAUCAUCUGUUCCUAGUAGCUGCCGUGUCGUGUUCUGAGCAUAUUUGCAGGGAUGGUUGUACCCUGAGCUAAAAAUAUUGGCGUUCUGCAGCACGUUGGCAAGCCCAGAUGCCGAGAAAAGGAGGAUUCUGUAAACACACACACACAAAAACCCCUUUGCUUAUACUGUAUGCUCCCCCACCCUCUUCUUUUGCAUAAUGUAUUUUGAGUUAAGGAGAAGGAGAGCUACUAAAGUGUAGUCAUCUAGUCUGACCCCGUGUAAUGCAGGAAUCUCUUCCCCAACGCGGGACUCGAACCCACGACUCUGAGAGAAAGCAGAGUCCUCCAAGGAAUCAGACUUGGGACAUGCACUUUUAAACUUGUUCAUAAAUCAUUUUAGAGCUAGGGGUGGCCAGGUUUGCUGAUGAUACCAAAAGGCAGAGAGUUGUUCCACUCCUGUCCAGGUCACAGCCUUCCCACUGGUUGGCCCAUGUGAGACCAGGAUGCUGGGUCAUUGGCCGGACCAGGCAGACUCUUCUCAUGCUCUUAAGCUGGGUCAAAAUCAAAAGCCAAAAUCCAGACAAGCACACCAACACUCUCCCCUCCAGGGGUUUCCAGCAGCUGCUAUUCAUAAGCAUUUAGUGUCUCUGACUGCUCUCACUGCUUCUUGUGGCAGUGAGUUCCACCGUUCGGCCAAGUGCUACAUGAAGAAGUACCUCCUUUAAUCUGACCUGGAAGUUCCAGUGUUAUGAGAGAGGGAGAAGAACUUGCCACCCACUCCUGGGUGGUAGGGGGCACACCACAGCGGUGGGGGCUUUUUCAGGUAGCCAAGGAGGCUGGCGCUGGCAGUAGAGCUGGGCAAUAUGUCAGUUCAUCAUCUGAAACCUGUAUGAAGUUCAGGUCCCCCCAAAACGAUUUUGGACUUUUUGAGCUGGCAAUACAUUGCAGCUCUCCGGCUGCCGCCAGCGCAGAACCUACCUGCUUGCUCUGUGUUGGUGUUGGCUGGGGAGCCGCGGUGUAUUGCCAGUUCCAAUUGCCUGGUCGCCCGUGAGCCUAUAGGUUUGCCUUUGCCUGAGCAAGUGGGGUGGGCUGCUUCUUCCCUCCCAGUUGAUCGCUCCUCCUGCAACUGACCAGGAGGAAAGAGGAAGGCCACCCACUUGCUCGGGCGAAGGCAAAAGGGCAGGCAGAUGGAGCACCUUCUCAGGGUCCUUUUUCUGAGGCCAGGGCUGGCCUGCAGAGGAUGGGACGGGGGGACUGGACAGGAGCUCCUUUGCCCGAGCAGGCAAGCAACCUCCUUCCCUUCCUCCUAGUUGCUUCUCCCUCCACAGCCCAGCCUCUUUUUCAGCCUUUUUCGGUGUUAUUUCAGACAUUGUGAUAUAUCUCUAUAUUGCGAUGUUUAGCUGGUGAGAUCCUCUUCUUUGGCAAACACUCAUAGCCAAGCAAGAUUGUCUUCCAUGAACACAGUUUUAACAGUGAGUCUGUAAGUGAUUGUGGAGGCAAAUUCUUGAUCCACACGUCCUUCCACAGUGGGGACAUACCGGUAGGUUUCCGGGCGGGAGUUGAUCACGGUGUGGAUUUGCCAAGCGUUCCUUCCUCUUAGCACAUUUCUCCCUUUCGUCCUGAGUUCGAGCGUCUUCAAAGCACAUGACAACUUUGGUUAAGGCUGUUCUCCAACUGGAGCGCUCGCAGGCCAGUGUUUCCCAGUUGUCAGUGUUUAUACGACAUUUUUUUUUUAGAUUUGCCUUGAGACAGUCUUUAAAUCUCUUUUGUUGACCACCAGCAUUACGCUUUCCAUUUUUAAGUUUGGAAUAGAGUAGUUGUUUUGGAAGAUGAUAAUCAGGCAUCUGCACAACAUGACCAGUCCAACGAAGUUGAUGUUGAAGAAUCAUUGCUUCGACACUGGUGAUCUUUGCUUCUUCCAGUACACUGACAUUAGUUCGCCUGUCUUCCCAGAUGAUGUGUAAAAAUUUUCAGGGACACCGUUGAUGGAAUCUUUGGGGGAGUUGGAGGUGGUGUUUAUAAGUGGUCCAUGUUUCACAAGCAUGCAUUCAGGUUUUCUUGGUUGAAGGGUAUGGCUUAACCCCAAACUGUACGAACAUUUGCCCCAAAUUGGGACUGAACACACAAGGAGAUAGCAUUUUUCCCGGGGGGGGGGGAGGCAGGGAGCCAUAACCACAGAGGUGUCAGUGGCGUAUAAAAUAAUUCAAGGUUUGCAAUCAGCCCAAUUAGGUAUGGCUAAUUUCCUCUCCGACUUAAGGGGACACACACAAGGUAUUUGCUCAUUGUAACAAAGGCCACUCGUCUGAAACAAUUAGAGGAAAUGUGUGUGUGUUUUUAUGCGGCACAUAAUUAAAUAGUGCAGCCGUUUUUAGGACUAUUUGGCAAGCGAAAUGUUUUGUAAAAUUCUAGACAGAUAAAAGAAAGUGCUUUGUGCAGUGCAUGGUUAAAACUAUGGAACGUGCGAGGCAGGAAUAUGGCCACCAACCUAGAGAGCUGUAAAAUAGGGGAUUGGGCAAAUUCAUGGAGGAGAGGGCAUUCGAUGGCUACUAGCCAUCAUGGUUAUGCUCUUACCUCCGCAGUCGGAGGCAGCAAUGCUUGUGAAUACCAGUUGCUGGAAACCACAGGAGCAGGGUUAGAAAUUAGCCAGGCGCCAGGCGCGUUUUGCGACCGGCAUGGGUCCAAUUGCGACCAUGUGGAGAUCUCUGGAUGCCAGGUUGGCAAUUGAAGAAAGCAAAGUGUCAUUUAGAGAAGGAGCUGAAAUAUUUCCCUUGCAGCUUGAAUUUCUUUUAUUCUGGGUUGUUUUAUUGGAUGUUUUAAAACAGCUUUGAGAUCUGUUCUUUAAAAGGUAAUGCAGUAUUGAAUGGAAAAUAAUAAUAAUUAAUAAUAAUACUGAUUUUAGUAGUAGUAGCAGUAGUAGUAUUCCAUUGGGGAGAAAUGGCACCUAGACAUUCCAUUGUGGCAACCAUAACCUAGGUUUCAGGUGCCAUUUGGUGGUUAGCUUAUAUAUCUGAGUUUCUAACAUUGCACAGGAGGGGGGAUGGUUGCUCUUGUGUUCAAAUCCUGCUUGCAGGUUCCCCACAGGCCACUGUGAGAAGAGGAUGUUGGACCAGAUGGGCCAUUGGCCUCAUCCAGCAAGCUCUUCUGAUGUUCUUAUGCACUCCCUUGUAUCUGAAGUUGUCCGGUCCACUAUGCUACCUGAAAACUCCCAUCAUCACCUUACUCCUUUGGCCAUUGCAAAUCUUAUUUGACCACCUCCUCCCACUAUUAUACCAAGCAUUGCCCACUCAUUUUCAAACGGUUGUGCUAUUAUUAUGCUAUUCACAUGGUACAAGGUGCUUUGCUAAAAUACAUGGUGGCAGGUGCCUGCCGCAAGGGCAAGGAGCUUACGUACUAGAAACAGACACCAGGAAAGCAACAGAGGAAGGGGAUUGAAAAGGACGCAGGGGGUCAAUGGGAAGAUUUAUUAGUAUUGUGGCUGUGUGUACUUUGGCUUAGUCUAAAUAAGUUACUGGGAGUGGGUGCCAAAGGUGUCACGGAAAAUGGUGCUUUUAGGGGAUGGAUGUGGAGGAAAGAACAGAAGGGGUAUCACAGAGGAGACCUGGGAGUUGGCUACUUGUGCCAGCGGAAGCUACCUGACCGCAAAUUUAAGUUUGCAAGGUCUAGAAACUUGCCCCCCCCUUUUUUUAAAAAAAACCCCCAAAAUCAGAGAGAUUCUCAGGAAGCUGCUUUCGGUCCCCGUGACCACAUUUCUUAUUCCUGCGCUGCACAUAAGUGCCACGUGUACAAAGCGCUUGUCCCGUUCAGCCGGCAAUGCGGAGGGAAGCGUUGGCUCUUAAUCUGCCCAGUGGAAACAGUAUUGAUCCGCUUCACGAGGCCGCUAAGAAUGAACACAAACUGGAUUGCCAAAGUGCUCGAAAGAGAGUUACAUAAUGGAAGCAGCAGUGACAUGUGCAAACAGCCUCCUCUGCAUAGCUUUCCCAGCUUCCGUGUCCUCCAAGCUUUGAAGCGUUACUGUAAAAAAACAAAACCCAAAAAGAAACCCUCCCUAGUUGUUGACGCAGUUCCUUUUAAAAAUAGGUGAAUGACUUCUUGUUUCUCAGUUCCUUGUUUCAGCAUUUUUUACAUAUAUAAUCUUUAGGGAGGGCCGUAUCCUGGUACGGCUUUUCUCCUGCUUUUAAUCCACCCAAGGCAAUGAAUGCUGCUGGGUUUCUGCUCAGAACCUGCCAGCCGCUUGGGAGUGACUCUUGUUGCCCUGAACUUCCUGGUCGCUCUGCUCAGUUUGUCCCAAGCAGGCAUAAAUAACUUUUAAAAAAGAAAGAAAGAAAGAAAGAAAGAAAAGAAAGAAAGAAAGAAUAAUUGCCAGGGUGCAAAUUCCUAUCUCCCUGUGGGAAUUUUGUGUGUGUGUGUGUGUUGAGGCCUCUCCCCCACAAUGGAACGAGAACUUGAGUUUGAUCAGGAUUGCAGGGGUUUAACACGUCUCCUCCCAUUCUGAUUUCGACCUGAACUUUGCUUUCGUUAUAAAGUUAACAUGCAAAUCCUGCUCUCCCCCCCCCCCUUGGGCGUGCUGUGGGCUGCAGCCUGGAACUCGUCUUGUCAUUUGGAUUGCUCUUCGUCAGCUGGGUCUCCUCUCCUUUAACAGCUCUGGUCGUCAGGUGCGUCCCCAUAGGUGUUACGUGUUUCAUUUCUGCGAAAACCGAGGUACCAUGUUUCUUCUUGUGUGUGCUUUACCCCCCCCCCCUCUUCCUUGCCUCUUUCUCUCCUCAUAAGAAUUAGAAUCCGGUUGCGGGCGACGCCUGUUCCACACCUUGACUCGGAAAAUAAAACACACAAAGCUGCCAAAUGCUAACGAGGAGGAUUUUUGAAGACUGAUUCUUCUCCUCUUGUGAUUCUAAUGUAUCCCCAGAUUUCCCUGCUCUUGGCAGUGGUGAAAGCCGUUUGAAGCUGAGGUGCUUCAAGGUCACUUUGGUAGGUUCCUCCCCAGCACUCCUUGAAAGCAAUUUUGUGGUUUAGGCAGUCUCAUGGCAGAGAUGAGCAUCUUGCCACGUCGGUCUCGGCGCCUUUCAGAGCGAGAGAAGGCUCAUGGCGGUACAGUUAGAAAGCAGGUAUUUCUCUACGGAGGAGAGCUUCAUAGGUACGCCUUCUGCUUUUUCCUCCUUCGCCGACAGUUCUUACAACUCUCUUUGGAGCAAGUGAAGGUUUCUGAACAAACAUAUGUUUCCACGCAGACGAGCUGUUCAAACCUUGAAGCCCAUCGUGGCCCAUUGGAAGCCUUUGAGAAUGCAAAUUUGCUCCUUGAUCUUAUGAAUCGCUUUGUAGUGGGAUGGUUUUAUUUGAAAUUGCCAGAUCUUGCAGGGAGGCAUCGAUCAGGCGCGGCAAUUGAGGCAGGAACGAUACAGACUGCUCACCGUUGUUCGCCCAGGCAAUGUGGAGAACUGGGGGCGAAACGAGUCUUUCAAGAGUUGCUUCCGGCCAGCUAAGGGCACACCAGUUUGUUUGUUUUUAGCAGUCUUGACCAUCCCAGUAGAAUGAAUUCCAAAAGUGCUUUAUGGAAGAAUGGGUGCCUUUUUCGUACUAUUUAAAGAAAUGUUAUAGUAUGGAGAACUUGCAAGCAGGAUUUGAGCAACAGAAGUAAUUAGAUUAUAACACAGUUUUAUGAUUAAAUAGAUGGAAGUUAGGGUGCAGCAGAAGGGGAGAAACAAACAGCUCCAUGGAAAACUGCGUAGGAAGCUGAUAAAAAUAAGAGAAAUGAUGAAAAUGUGUUUUGAUUGUACAUGCUGUUUUUAAAAUAUAUACAGUAUAUAUAUUCAAAAGUUACAGUACAGUUGCAAUGCAAUACAAUACAUUUUCAAUCAGUAUAUCAAUUGUACAUGUUUAAAAUGUUGAAACUUAAUAAAAUAUAAUUGGUGAAAUAGCGAAUUUCAAAAAUUGUAUUUUGGAGAGGUGCCGCUCAGUUAGAGGGCCAAAACCCAGGCCAAGCAUUGGCUUGUGUCGCCGUUGGAGAGCUCCACAACCAAGCUUGUAGUUCCCGCCUUCGGCAUUGUGGGAAAUUAAAUGGUGGCCGCUGCUGUGGCCUGUCCAUAACUGUCCAGUUCUCCCUUUUUAAAAGGGAAAUUCCCUUAUGCUGAAUAGGCUUCCUCGCGAGAAAAGGGAAAACUUAACAGCUAUGGGCCUGCCACUCCUCAGGUCUCCUUCAGGAGGUGGUGGGCUGUCCUUCCUUGGAGGGUUUUUAAGCAGAGGUUGGAUGGUCAUCCGUCAUGGAUGCUUCAGUUGAGAUUCCUUCGUUGCAGGGGGUUGGACUAGAUGACCCUUGGGGUACCUUCCAACUCUACAAUUCUCCGAUUCAUAGCACAGCGAAGAGCCCCUUAAAUCCGAUGGCAAACAUUUCCCUCACAGAAACGUACUGAGGAGGAUGAAGGGCUGCAAAGUCUCUGUCAAGCCUCGGGUGCAGACAGCCCUAAUAAUUAAGAGUUUUCAAUGAGCCUGUGUGAGCUUUUCCAGUGCUGCUAAUAAACGAGCCCUUUGGGAAUGAAACAGUCAAAUAUUUGGAUUGCGGGUGCCAAUGUUUUGUUGGAACAUUUUUGUAAAGGCCUUCAGUAUUACGAAGCUUAAUUGGUUGGAAAAUGAAGAUCUGAUUCUAGGACGGGCAAGCAAAUGAUUCCAGGCCAGGUGUGUGUGUUUUAAUUGGCGCUGCCAGAGAUUGCAAAGGUUUCUGCUCUACUGUCUUGUGCCUUGAAUGAGCCCCAAAUGCAAAAAUAGUCGCUGCUUCCCUGCCCACAUGCAACGCUGUUUUUUUUUUCCUGGGGGUGGCAAGGAACCUGAUCAGGAAGAACGGUUAUUUGCCUUGGCUAACUGCGUGGCUAGAUGAAGCAGCUCAGAUAAAUGUUAUGGUGCACAAUUAAUGGCGACAUUUUGGAGAGAACACGGGGAACCCUUUCCCUGGUUUUAAAUGCCGAAGUGUCCACCGGGGCAAAAAUGAUUUUAAGCGUGCUCCAUGACUGAGGGGGCACAUGCAAAUUGCUACUCACAAGCAGGCCAAUAGUAAAUGCCCCCCCCCCCCGACCGGAGAGAUGUCUAUUAAUAAAAUGCCACAAUGAAAAAUCGGCAACUCGUAUCUGUCUUGGUAUGAACUUCUCAGCAUGAGUAAGAGCAGGUUGAACGAACGCUCGGGCCACUUCAUAAUAAGAUGCUUAUCCGCACUGCAUGCAAAAGGUCCCAUUGGGACCUAAGAAAAGGCUUGCCAGAUCGGGCCAAAAUGUAGGCCCAUCGAUUAUACAGGAUCCUGUUCUCUCAGUGGUCUGACUCUGCAGAAGGCAGCUUCUUCAGUUGCUGUGCUGUCAGCUCUGGAGAACUGCUGCCAGUCCGUGUCAGCAGUACUGAGCUGAGAUGGACCAACAGGCUUGGCAUAAGAUGGCUUCCUACGUCCCUGUAUGUAUGUAUGUAUGGCCUUCUGUGUCCUUUAAGGGGCAACCCAGCCAGAUGGGUUAGGUACAAAUAAUAAAAUUAUUAUUAUUAUCAUCAUUAUUAUUAAGGUUCACCGAGGGACCCACAACUGUGCCGUCGCCCCUCCAGUAAUAAUUUCAUUUAAUCCAAUGGGGACAGGAGGGUUGAAUAAGGCUGGGUUCUUAUCGUUCAAAGCCAACGUUUGGUGGGGGGACUUCCAAGGAGGAGCCCAGUUUGGGUGCAUCGUGCCAAAUAUUGUAAAUGGGGGAAAAGAGUACACAUUUUACUACCCAUGAGAGGGUGCCUUGCUCCAGAACAAUGACUCAGUCCUGAGCAGGUAAACAGGGUCACACUGUUCCAUCUCGCUUUGGGAAGGGAGUUUUCAUGACCAGUUCACUGAUUAGCAAAUUCUUUUCUUUCAAAGGCUGGAAAGGGCUCUGCCUGUAGGAAAGAUUAGAAAGUUCACUUGUAGCGUUUUAGAUCUUCGUCUUUUUAAAAUUAAAAUUCAUGACCCACUCUUUAAUCAAAUUAUCAUGGUGUCUUACAGUAAUACACACUGUUUGUUUUUUAAAAAAGAAAACCCGCAUUAGAAAUAAGUUAGAAAUAGCAAAUCUAUGAGCAACUGCAUUAAGCAACACAAAGCAAAAUAGAUCAUUAAAAAGGCUGGCAGCGAGGCUGGGGAGAGAUGUUUCCCCCUGGAACUGGAAAUAACUUUAAAGGACUAAAAGCUGUGGUGAAAUUUUAUUUGGAGACAUCUAAGGAGUAGGAGCCCUUCAAUCAGGCAAAUUAUGGGAUGCCGAACUACUCAUCUUCUCAGUCUUCAUUGCAAAGGCAGCAUAAUCACAGGUAAAUUGUCAUGUUGUUUAAAUUAUUUCAACUAAGUAUAAAAAGAAUUUCCCUUUUCUGGUCACCUCAGGGGAGACCCGCAGGUUGGGUAGCAGGGUAAGCCGUUCGACUUCAUGAAUAAGAAGCCUGAAGAGCCAUUUAACUGCAGAUCUUUUGCAAAUUUAAUUAAAACAAAGGACAACCGGGCGUAUAAACGGCAGGACAUAUCAAUCAACUCAAGUCUGUAAUGAAAUGCUGUUAUAGGGCCACCUCAAUCUCUGCCAAGGGGCUCAGUUGGUAGAGCACGAUGCUCUUAAUCUCAGGGUCGUGAGUUUGAGCCCCACGUUUGGGUGACAGAUUCCUGCCUUGCAGGUACGAGAUGACCCUCACAGUCCCUUCCAAGUCUGUGAUUCUGUGAUACUCUUCAAAUGUUGCCCAGUUAUUAUCCCUACUCACUGUAGGAAGGGUGCAAUAAAAAAACAUUUUAACAAAUAAUAGAUCUAAAUGAAAUAAACGUGUUUGCACAGGCAUUUGGUGACUAUGAGCAGGAGGAGCCAACUGAGUUUGUUGCCAUAGCUGCUGUGUGUUCAGAAGAUGUUUUUAGUAGUGUUUUAAUAGUGUUUGUGUUUAUGUGUGUGUAUAUAUAGAGAGAGCAUAGCUGCCAAGUUUUCCCUUUUCUCGCGAGGAAGCCUAUUCAGCAUAAGGGAAAAUCCCUUAAAAAAAGGGAUAACUUGGCAGCUAUGAUAGAGAGAGAGAGCGUGCUAUUGUUGCUUCUGGUUUUGUAAGCUGCAGGCCACGGCAGGAUAGAAGCAUUUGAAAUAAAUAAAUAGAAAGCUGGUUGUGCGAACCUCAUUGCUGAAGUGGGAUAGAUCUUAUUUUGUUCCUCUUGCUGUUUUUUUUAAGAGCCGAAGGUGAUCUCUUUCCACAAAUAUGCCUCUUGUGCAACAAACACAGGAGUACAUAGAGGAGGAGGAGGAGAAUCUUGCUUGCUAGCCCCACCCUCUGACCCCAUUGCAUUGAUUGCCCCCAAAUUUCAUGCAUUGCGCUGAAGUUGGGGAUUUGAUUUAUAUGUGUUUCCAUUACAACCUACUUGUUUGUGCCUCCGGUCCACUAGUCAAACUCUGUCAGUAUACAUGAGGUUAAGAUAGUGUGAUCGUCCGGCAGAAUCCUGUUCCCCCGUAUUUGUUCACUUGACAUGUGGAGUGUUGGUUGGAAGAGAGGGCUCUUGUCUUCUUUGGUUUCAGAAAAUACAGGUGUUUCAUUGCCUCCAUUGAGAUUUCCCAUCCCCUGAUUCUGUGAUUCAUCACCAAUGGCUCAAACCAGUUUUCACCCCGGCUGAUGCCGCUGCAGUCGGUAGGAUCCAUCUCUGCAUAAAGCUACCGACUUUAGGAUUUUGGGUAUCUAUUGGACAGCGCCAGUGAUGUCAUUAAUGUUGCGAACCGCCCUGAGAUCUACGGGUGUAGGGUGGUAUACAAAUUCAACAAAAACAAAUGAAUGGUGAGAAACACACCCUUCCCUUCCAUUCUGCAUUUUACAUCUCGCCUUUGUACCCCAAAAGUCUGUUUUUGUUUGUGAUUUGCAUUUUAGUUCCCCGUGUGUUUGCUCUUCCUCUGGUUGGAGCUUUGAUGCGACGCAGAGGUACACUGGUGUGUGCGUUUUCAAGGAAGCGAGUUUGUGUGCUGGUACAUAGUGUAACCACAACAAUCACACAGCGGCAAGAGGUCACAUUGAUCUGUAAGCACAGUUCCUGGGUGAAGUCAGUCCUGAACUCUGGCAACCCUCUUGGGCGCUUGUUGUUCUGCCGAAAGCUGCCGGCUCAGAACAACCUUGGGAAGAUUUGAGAAAUGGUGGCAAGUUGGCUGCUAAGUACUCUCUCUGAAUUGUCCCCUUUGCUUAGGACAGUGGUAUAUCCGGCUCCUGCCUGCUGCUCACACCACCGGCCUUUGCCCUUUUUUAAACCUCCCACCGUUCUCCCCCCUCCCCGUUAUUCGCAGAUUGCACAAUUGUUAAAGAACAGCUUCCACCGUGAGGAAUGGGUGUUUUCAUUCUUCCAAAAGCCAUGUCUGUUGCCUUCGUGAACCGCUGGCCUUCGACCCAUUGUCUCGUAAGUCCUUCUGCCAACAGGAUUUUUGCCGCAGCUCAUGUACUUUGUAGUCCUGACCUCUGCGUUUGAACGGAAACUUAAUAUCCGCACUGCCAGUUCCUUACAGGAACCUGCCCACAUGCUGAGAUUAUUGUUGUUUAACACUUGCAAAGUAGCCGAGGCAAGGGCGAGUGACCUUUUUCAUCCAGAGGCAAAAGCGGGCAGCGAAUGUAAAAUUUCUCUUCGUGUGAUGGGUAGCUCAGUCGGUAGAGCAUGAGACACUUAAAUCUCCAGGUCGUGGGUUCGAGCCCAAUGUUGGGCGGAAGAUUCCUGCAUUGCCAAGGGAUGGACUUAGAUAACCCUCAUGGACCAUUCCAUCUCUACAAUUCUAUGUUUCUAUGAAUAAAGGAUGGCACAGGAAAGCAGGGUUGGGGAACAUCAGUGGCUCUCCAGGUGUGCUGAACCAAGGUGGCUGGAUGUUGUUGGAAGGGACCUAUGGAAAUGCGGAUUAAACCAACCAUUUGCUGCUCAGGAGCCUGUGGUGGCACUGACCAACAGGAGGUCAGGAUAAAGCCAGCAUGAAGAUCACUGCGAAGCAAGGAAAGGAAUUUCCCCCAAAGUCAGGGGAGAGCCGGGACUAGAACCAUGCACCAUGUGACUCCCGGUCAGAUGCUUCCAAGCUCCCAUCAUCGCGUUCAUCUCUUUUCAAACGGAAAUCUUAAAAAUGAUUCAUCUUUUGAAAAGCGAGUGCCGGGGGGAACAAAGCAUGAGACAUCGGAGCCAGACUUAGGAGCUCAGUCUCUGGACUUCAAAAAUCAUUAUAAAAUAAGUCCUGGGAAAGGGCAGGGUGGAGAGGCUGAAUUAUUUGUUUCUAUCUUGCCUUUACUCCCAAGAAGCUCAGGGUGGCGUUCUGUCCUCACAACAACCCUGCGAGGUAGGUUAGGCUGAAAGACUGUGGCUGGGGAUUCAAACCCUGGUCUCCGAGCUCUUAGUCCUCGUAUUGGGUGCUGGGGCCGGGGGGGGGGAGAGUGGUGGAUAAAAUACAGGGCUAAAUAUACCAGUGGUAAGACAGCUUCAAACUGCUCGGUGUGGUGACUGGGUGGUCUGUUGUUUGUUUUUUUGGGGGGGUAGAACUGUAGAUUUGGAAGGGACCAUGAGAGUCAUCUAGUCUAACCCCCCUCCCCCCCGCACAAUGCAGGAAUCACAGCUAAAGAAUCCCUUGACAGAUGGCCAUCCAAGCUCUCCCAGGAUAGUUCUUGUGAAGCUGGUGUGGAGGUCCCGGUUUCAUAGAACCGUAGAAUUAUCGCAUUGGAAGGCACACCUAGAGUCACCUAGUCCAACCCCCUGCAUUGCAGGGAUCUUUUGCCCAACGUGGGGCUCGGACCCAUGGCCCCGAGAUCAAGAGUCUCGUGCUGUAACAACUGAGCACAAGUCCACUAGUUCUUGAGCACAGUGUGAACCCAUGCCACUUAGCUCUGCUGGGAGAAAAAUCUGAACGAACAAGGAAGAUUUUGUGGUGGCCGAUGCUGGCAUCCAUUUAAUCCAUAAAAUCUCUUCAGGCAGGACACUGGCUCGUUCUAGUGAAGUUGAGUCACCCUCCUCUCAUCAGGGUUACCUGUUCUAAGAAAGCCCACCUUACAAUGCCAAUCCCCUUUUCAGCUGCAAGCUCUUCAAAGCUUAACCUACUCAGGACCCUACGGGGGGGGGGGGGAAGCAACAACAGCUCCAUCACUCAUCAGGGUUUCUGUUUCCCAAAGGUUGGAUGCCAGGUGAGAAAGCUCUUUGGCAUUUUUCACCUUUGCUGGAGAAAAGUGAACAGGUAUUUUGCUGUUGUUGUUGCCGCCCAGAAGGGAAUUCCUCUUGCAUGGUAUGAGCACUCGCCUGGUGUUUCGCCUGUUCCUGUGGUUAUUUUACCCCAAACAUCUUCCCCUCCAACGCCUCGACCCAUGAUCAAUAUUGAAAUGGGUCGCUCUGGGGGUGUGCAAUGUUUUUACUCUGCCACAUUCUAAAGGUAAAGGAGGGGUUCCCUCCCAUGUGCAAGAGAGAACGGAGAAGGCCUCUUUCGUUAAUGCUACCUUCCAUUGAAAAUAACAGACGCACCUUGUGUCACAAUAAAUCUUUACAACGUACAGUGUUUUUCCAAUGGGAAAUCAGAUGAUGUGAACAUCAAAUGUAUGUUGCAUAACACCCACAUAACACAAAUGGCAAAAUUCGUGUGAAUCCAUCCAUUCAUUUCAAUCUCCCUCACAUCCCUACCCUAUUAGAUUUUAAACAAAAUAAUAAUAGAAAUCCUUCCAGUAGCACCUUAGAGAUGCUUAUAUAUAGUGAGAGGGUGGGGAGGGGGUAUUACUCAGAAGGGUGGUGGGAAUGGGAUAUUGGCUGAUAGGUGUGGUAAACCCCCCCCCCUCAAUAUAUAUAAGGGUAUGGUGACUUCUGUUUCAGUGUAUCUGAAGAAGUGUGCAUGCACAGGAAAGCUCAUACCAAUGACAAACUUAGUUGGUCUCUAAGGUGCUACUGGAAGGGAAAUGACCAAUAUUUAUCACCAUAUUUUUGGUAAGCAGUUUGUUUGGUCAAUAAAGGGGAGGGGGGCACCAAGCCUCUAUUAACCAGUCUGACAUCGUUGUCUUUCCUUUUGCUUUGGUCUCUUAUUCAAUUUCCAAAAUCUUCAGAAAUAGAGAGGGAUGUAUGUUGUGUGUGCUUAAAGCAGGUACUGUAUAGGGAGCCAAGGCCCUCCAGAUUCUGUGGAACUGAAACUCUCAUUAGCCCCAGCAAGCAUGGCCAUAGAAACAUAGAUUUGUAGAGUUGGAAGGGAACCCCCAAGAGACACCGUCCUAGACCAACCCGCCGCAAUGCAGGAAUCAGUGGUCAGAAGUGAUAGGAGCUUCAGUUCAGCAACAUCUGGAGGGCCCAAGUUUCCCCAAACCUGUGCUUCAAGCAUCAAACACAACUUUGCUGUCUAUCUUGGAAAGAUGCAGUUAGUCACUGAAAUAAAUAUGAUUUCAGUGAUCAACAUGACAUAGAUACCAGUUUCUUAGGGCGGAAGGUUUGGACAAGUUUUGUAGCCUUGGAUUUGCCCCGCAACAGACUUAAUACAAACCCUCUAGAAGUUGUAUGCAAAAAAAUAAAUACUGCACAACAGUUCUCCAACCAAAUCAUUGCAGCAUCCCUGCGAUUGAUCCAAGGGCUUUUUGGCGAUUAAUCCUAACCGAUUCCUCAGCUGCGCGAACUACAGGAAAAGAAGGCGUGGAAGAAUUGCAUUAGGAAUGUUCAUGUGUUCUUCUCGUAAGACCAAGAUUAGGCUGAUAAACCACAUUAAAAAAAAAGAGUCAUGCUUGUUGCUCCUUGUUACUAUAACCAUCUGCGGGUGUUUUUUUUUUUUUUUUAAAUCAGUUCCUGGGCUUUGGAGUGUUAAAUAAAUGGCCAGAAGCUAAGAUUUUCAUCCCACAGCUUAGCUUUGGGUGCGGUCUCCUCUCGUCUCUUCCGUUUGGCCAGUCGGCUGAAAGAGGCUGGAGAAAUGACUCUGGUUCUGCCCGAGCAGGUUUUCAGGAAUUCAUUUAGGAGACAUUACAGUCCGCUUGUUUGUCUCUUCUCAACUCGGCCCCUGUUUAAGCCGAUGGCUGCUCUUUUGUGUAUCGCAAAUAACAUACAUUCAGAAAGGCUAGCUAUAUAUCCGAAGGGCACAGUGGAGCGGAAGUUGUGCUGUCGUUUCAUUGGAAUUAAUGAGGCGUGUUAUGGCUAAUUGCUUGUUGCACUCAUUCCAUGGGGGGUAGAAAACUUCUUUGCACUGGGGAGGGGGUCAGAAUUUGCAGCCUUUAUCCAGCUGGACUGCAUAGCUGCCAAGUCUCCCGUAUUCCCCAGGAAACCCCCGUUUUUCCAGCUGUCCCCAGCCGAAAAAACAGAUUUUUUUGUCCCCCCCCCCCGGUUUAUUCUGGCGCGGCAGCCAUUUUGGACCUGGGUGGAGCAUGCUCAGAAGCAACUUUUGAUGCAGCUUUGCCCAGUUCCAAAAUGGCUGCAGCGUGACUUCUGGUGCGACAGCCAUUUUGGAACAGGGCAGAGCAGCAUCAAAAGUAGCUUCUGAGCAUGCUCCGCCCAGUUCAAAAAUGGCGGCAGCGCUACUUCCGGUCCAGUCCCUUAUUUCUCAGGCUGGAACUUGGCAGCUAUGCUGGACUGCUGCGCACAUGGGUGCAACGUGAACAUUCGUACUAGAACCCUAAAAAAACGUGGCUUCGGUUUACAUGGGGGAAAGACGGGUCUGUUUGCAGGUCUCAUGGCUGUAGAGCUCAAUUUAAAAUGAGAAGAGAAACAAAACAAAGAAGGAUGAGGAGCAAAGAAACCAUCAGACUUAAUCUCAGGGUUGUGAGUUUGAGCCCCAUGUUGGGCAGAAGAUUCCUGCAGUGCAGGGGGUUAAACUAGAUGAUUCUCAUGCUCCCUUCCAACUCUACAGUUCUAUCAUUCUAACAGUGUAUCUCUUUACAUAACUACAGUCAUACCUCGGGUUACAGACGCUACAGGUUGUGCGUUUUCAGGUUGCACACCAUGUCGAACCCAGAAGUACCGGAAUGGGUUACUUCUGGGUUUCAGCACUCAUGCAUGCGCAGAACACUAAAUCGCGCUUUGUGCAUGUGCAGAAGUGCUGGAUCACGACCCGUGCAUGUGCAGACACGGCGCUGCGGGUUGCGAACACUGCGGGUUGUCGACGUGCCUCCCACAUGGAUCACGUUUGCAACCCGAGCGUCCACUGUACUCAAAGGCAAGCCUUCUCAAAUGCAAUGGGGCUUACUCCCAGGUAGCCAGGAUCAGUGUAUGAUUUCCUCCUGCAGGAGUGUGGAACCUGAGGUUCUCCAGAUCUUGUGUGAGUACAGCUGUCUUGGUCCGGCCACACCUACUAAAGCAAAAUGACAGAAGGCCACCCAACCUUUGCUUAAAAACCUGCAAGGGAGGUGGGUCCACCACCUCCCGAGGGAGACCGUUCCACUGUCAAACAGCUCUUACUGUCAGAAAGUUUUUCUGAAUGUUUAGUCUGAAUCUCCUUUGCUUGUAACUUAAAGCCAUUGGUUCGAGUCCUACUCUCCAGAGCGGGAAAAAAACAAGCUUUUCUUUGUUCUCUGAUAUUUGAAGAUGGCCAUCAAAGCUCCUUUCAGUCCCCUCUUUUGCAGGCUAAACAUCAUAGCUGUCAAGUUCUCCCCUUAUGCUGAAUAGGCUUCCUCGCGAGAAAAGGGAAAACUUUACAGCUAUGCUAAACAUACCCAGCUCCUUCAACCAUUCCUCAUAAGGCUUGGCUUCUAGACCUUCUUGGUUGCCCUCUUCUGCAUACCUUCCAGCUUUUUCCAGUUAUUUGGAUACUAUGCUAUACUACAUUGAAAUGGGUUCGUGUCCUACUCUUCAGAGCAGGAGAAAACAAGUUUUCUCCAUCCUCCAUGUGACAGCCCUUGAGAUAUUUGAAGAUGGCUAUCUUAUCUCUUCUCAGCCUCCUCUUUUCCAGGUUAAACAUACCCAGCUCCUGAGACCUUUCCCCAUAAGGCUUGGUUUCCAAACCCUUGAUCAUCUUGGUUGCCCUCCUCUGCACACCCUCCAGCUUGUCAACAUCCUUCCUAAUUUUGUUGCUCAGAAUUGGACAUAGAAUUGGCAGAAAAUAGUAAUGCUAUUACUUUCCCUGAUGUGGACACUAGACUUCUGCUGAUGCAGCCUAGAAUAGCAUUAGCGUUGCUUUUUGCUGCUGCUGCAUCACACUGUUGACUCCUGUUAAGCUUGUGGUCCACCAAGACCCCUAGAUCCUUUUCACAUGUACUGUUAGAGUAGGUCUAAAUCCUGAUAUUUUUACAGAUUCCAGGCGUGGCUUUGGUUCCGUUGUAAGACAUUUAUGAGCCACUUUACCAUAUACUCCCCUCUGUGCACAUGUUGGAAGUCAUAAAAAUAAAGGUAAAGGACCCCUGACUGUUAGGUCCAGUCACGAACGACUCUGGGGUUGCGGCGCUCAUCUCGCUUUACUACAGCGUUUGCCCGCAGAAAGUUUUUCCGGGUCAUGUGGCCAGCAUGACUAAGCCGCUUCUGGCAAAACCGGAGCAGCGCACGGAAAAGCCGUUUACCUUCCCGCCGGAGCGGUACCUAUUUAUUUCCUGGCACAUUGAUGUGCUUUCGAACUUCUAGGUUGGCAGGAGCUGGGACUGAACAACGGGAGCUCACUCCGUCGCGGGGAUUCGAACCACCGACCUUCCGAUCGGCAAGCCCAAGAGGCUCAGUGGUUUAGACCAUAGCGCAACUCGCAUCCCGUUGGAAGUCAUAGAACCAUAGAAUUGUAGAGUUGGAAGGGGCCAAGGGAGGAGUGUUGGGUUCUUUUUUGUUCUUUCUUUUCCAAGUAGAUUUCCAUAGCAUGUAGCUGCCAGCAUUCAGGACUUCCUCUUCCUGCUUGGCAAAGACCUGGCAUUCCACGAGACUCCGGCUCUGAGGUGGCUCGUCCCACCCUAAUCCCCGGGUAGAUAAUUGAUCACAUCAGCCAACGCUUGGCAACUUUGCCACAAUUGGCAGCCGUGGCUGCUUGUGGGAGUUCCAGGAUUGGCGUGGCCAAGGGAGGAGCAGGCCAGAGGGCAUUGGCGGAGCUGGGGCAGGAGAGGCACCCGCCAGCCGUCUCCAUCUCUGGCCCACACAGUCAGGGCUUUUGUCCAAGGACACAGCGAAUACUCCAGGGCAUGUUAAUUGCAAGCGAGGAGAAGCAGAGAGGCAGUUGCGUGGGCAGGAAGCAGUAGCGGGAAAGAAGGAAUUGCGGAAGAAGUGCAGGCACGACCCACUCAAAGCCAGGCUUGAAAUUAGGCCCACACCCUGCCCUACAAAAAUGGAAUCUGAUGCUCGAGUAUUUUCCCCCCUCCCCUAGCGACCGGGGAGAAAUACCAUUUAAAGGUGAGCCCACCUGACUCACGCUUUCUAAAGCAGCAUGUGGGACAAAGCACCACCAUUCUUCAACAUUCGAAUUUCUUUCUUUGUUUUUUUCAAUGCAGUUCUGGACAAGUAAUGAGAAACAACCAAGCAAACAAAAACAUAUACUGCGGUAAAGCAUGCCUAAAAUGCAUGUAUCAGCAAAGGCAACAUUUUGAAUUGUAGAGUUGGAAGGGACCCCGAGGGUCAUCUAGUCCAAGCCCCAGUAAUGCAGGAGUCUCAGAUGAAGCAUCCAUGACAGAUGGCCAUCCAACCUCUGCUUAAAAACCUGUAAGGAAGGAGGUUCCACAACCUCCCGAGGGGGACCUUUCCACUGCAAAACAGCUCGUACUAUCAGAAAGUUCUUCCUGAUGUCCUUUCUUGUAAUGUGAAGCCAUUGGUUUAAGUCCUGCCCUUCAGAACAGGAGAAAACAAGCUUGUUUUUUCUUCCACGUGACAGCCCUUGAGAUAUUUGAAGAUGGCUAUCACAUCUCUCAGUCUUCUCUUUUCCAGGCUCUCUCUCUUCUCUUUGGCGAUCACUCGUAGCCGAGUAAGAUUGUCUUCCAUAAACACGGUUUUAACAAUGAGUCCAUAAGUGACUGUGGAGGCCAAUUCUGGAGCCACACGUCCUUCCAUAGUGGGGGCAUCGGUUUCCGGGCGGGAGUUGAUCGCGGUGUGGAUUUGCCAAGCGUGCCUUCCUCUUAGCACGUUUCUCCCUUGCGUCCUGAGAUCGAGUGUCUUCAAAGCCCAUGACACCUUUGGUAAAGGCUGUUCUCCAACUGGAGCACUCACAGGCCAGUGUUUCCCAGUUGUCAGUGUUUAUACUACUCUACAUUUUUAAAGAUUUGCCUUGAGACAGUCUUUAAACCUCUUUUGUUGACCACCAGCAUUGCGCUUUCCAUUUUUAAGUUCGGAAUAGAGUAGUUGCUUUGGAAGACGAUCAUCAGGCAUCCGCACAACAUGACCAGUCCAACGAAGCUGAUGUUCAAGAGUCAUUGCUUCAACACUGGUGAUCUUUGCACAGCUCCUUUGACUGUUCGUUUCCUGACCCUUGAUCAUCUUGGUUGCCCUCCUCUGCACACCUUCCAGCCAGGGGUGUGGGGUGGGUGUGGGCCUCUCUGGAUGCCAGGCGGCACUCACCGCAGGGCCUGCAGCUUGCCUGAGCCACGCAUAUUUCCUGGGAGAGACACGGUGGCUUGGGCACCUGAAGGCUCCGUCCCCCCCCCCCAGCUGUAGGAGGGCUGAGUGGGAGGAGGCAGGCAGGCACUGGAGGCCCCACAGUGCACCCCACCCCUAUGGGUGGCUCGUCCCGACCCUGGGCGCGCCGCCCCAGACGCCCGUGUGGCUUCCUCUGCCGCUGCUUCCAGCUCAUCAACAUUUAAAAGUGUGCAUUCUAUCAGGGAUCAUUCUUUGCAAAAAAGAUGUCUGUAUUAGGCAGAGUUGCAUUCAAACACGAGUAUAUUAGGAGUAAAUGCUGAUGAAUCGCAAAUUGAUGUAGAGAACUGAACUUUAGAUGGGGAGGGGCGGGACUGAGACUACCCAACAAAUUCACCCAUCCUCAAUUGUUUUGCCAUGUCAGCGUUUCAAAAAACAAAACAAAAAAAAACACCCUCUGCAGCAAACACGAUCUUCAGCUCUUCUUUAUGUCUUUUGAUGAUGAGGAAAGCAGCAGUUCUGUUCAGUUUACACAACUAUUUUUGGUGGGAGCUUUAUCUCCCUUUUCAGCAAAAACGUGUUUCCUUGUUAAAUGUAACUUUGAGGGCAACUGCAGGGGGGAUUCUGCAGGUGAGAAGGAUGGUCCUUAUGCAUCCCCCCCAAAAAAACUGCUUCUCUCUUCAUCCCUACAACCUUUCCCCUUGCUUAUUUCCAGUCUUAAGAGGCAGCUUGGGGGAAGAAGGAAAGCAUGGCUGCUGGGGAGAAGGAGCUGGUGGGCAAAGGGUUAAGCACUCCCUCCCUCCCUCCUACUGCUUUUCACCUGCGUGUGCCCUUUCCAUCCUGGCAAGGCAAACAGAGGGGUGUGACGCCUGUUGCUUGUGAAAUUAUGCCCAUUGGCAUAGCAGUGAAUCAGCAUGUUUUCUUCUUUUCUUUACCCUUUUUUUUGCAAGGUGAAUGGCAUUGUGGCCGCUGAGAUGGCAGCUCGUACAAAAUUUGGGCUGAAACAAAAGUGGGCGGAAAAGCCACAUUCCUGGCAGGUUGACCUUUCCUGAGCUUGGCAUGCAAAGUAUGUGCUCAGCAUGGCAGAAAAGGCACCUGGCCCAACACUGCACAUCUCCCCCCGCUGCAGGGUUGAGGAGUCCUUUUUAGCUCCAAUGGCCACAUUGUCUUCUGGGGGCCGCAUGCCAGUACUGGGCAGGACCGGAGGCCAAAGUGGGCCGAGUAACGAAUGCACCUUUCACCUUUGCACAGUGGGCCUCUGUGAGCUGGCAGUAAACCACACCGUACAGCUUGGUGUUAACUCUUCAUUUGCAGGAACAGGAUCUGCAGAGACUUGGUGGAGUGUCAGGUCUAAUGAGCACAGCAUUUCACCCCUGGUAGGUCUUGCCCCCAUGGAUCAGUUGCUGAUACUCCCCACGGCCGUCUAAGUCCCCUCCUCUCCAGUGUUUUCCUCGAGCAAUCGGAGACUGUACCUGCAUGCAGCCAACCUCUCCUCCGCCCUUUUCAUGCCUCUUCUGGUUCUGGGAGACCUGGGUGGAGGGGAGCUUGUUGCAACAAGAGGGGGACACACCCGUGACUCUUCACCAGUCAGACUCCUCUCUGCCUCUUGGCCUCUCUCCUCUCCUGCUUCAGCUUCUCUCCCUUCUCUCUGCCACAGACUCUCCCAGCUCACUAAGCCAUGUUACCUCUCCAGCUUCUGACACCUCCUCUUCCCUCUUCUCUCUCUUCUCCCUCUGACCACUCAUUGUCGUCCCACCACCACUUCCUGGGAUCUCAGCCUUCUUCCUUUCGGCCUUCUUCCUUUCAGGGUUCCCCAGAUGAUGCCUCCCACCAUUGCUCUCUGUCCAACCAGACCAUGACUUCCUGUUUCUACUUCCUGUCUUCCAUCCAGGCAAUCAAAAGGUGCUACUGGUGUGUCCAAGGCUACAUACCACCCUAGACCCUUGAGCACAGUGGAGGACCAGCGAUGGGUGUGGCCUGUGGGGAAGGGGCGUGGCCAAAAGAGAUUCCCAAGCACCGGGUAAAGAAGGCUGCCUGUGUGCAGUCCCAGGGAGCCCCACCUCGCAUUCCUGCAAAGUGGUCCUUGCUUUCCUCAGUGCUUUAACCCACUUGCCCAACAGGAACGGCAAGCUUUUCCACUAACCUUUGCAGAUCCAGUGGUGCUCUGCACCAGCGUUAGAAAUUAGCCAGGUGCAUUUUGUGACCGGCACGGGCCCAGUUGCAACCACAUGGAGAUCUCUGGAUGCCAGGCUGGCAACGGGGGGAAAGCAAAAUGUCGCUUGGAGAAGGAUCUGAAAUAUUUUCCUCGAGGCUUGAAUUUGUUUCAUUCUGGAUUGUUUUAUUUGAUGCUUUUUAAAGUGUUGUAAACAGCUUUGAGAUUUGUUCUUUACGAUACAAAGCGCUAUAGAAAUGAAAUGAGCAGCGAUAAUGGUGAAUUCCAUUGCAAAACAAAAAACGGCGCCUAAACAUUUCCAUUGUGGCGACCGUAACUUAGGUUUAAUGUGCCAUUGGUUGCUCUGCACCAUUUGACUCAGUUUGCACGCAGCUCUCGCCUGACCUGUCAAGAAAACACACCUGCAGGCUCUCUGCUGCUGUUGCUGCUGCUGCUGCUGCUACUAGGAGCAUCAAAGCAGGAGACGUCCGCCGCAUAGCUGUUGUGUGAACACCUUCCACCAUGCCUUCUCGCUGUGUUGUGCUUUGAAUGCCACGAAUGACCUUGGCAGCUAAUCAAACGGCUUUCAGAUGUGGCUGCUUUGUUGACCGAAGUUGUUCCAGCACCUGUGAACAUGCACUUCAGCUGCUUGCAAGGGAAUUCUUCAGCAUGAGAGAGCCUGUUCCCACGGUGGCCAGGCAGAUGACUUUGAGGAGUCUUGUGGGAAGGGCGAUAGCUCAGGCAGUGGUUGAGCACAUUCUUUGCAUGCAAAAGUUCCCAGGCUCAGUCGUGGAUGUCUGCAGCCCGGGCUGGAAAAGACCCCCUUCCUGAAACCCUGGAGAGCUGCUGCCAGCCCUUGUUGGAAGUAUGGAGCAAGGCAGACCAAAUCUUCUGACUCUUGAUAUAAGAUACCACCUCCUGGAUGAGGGACGCGGGUGGCGCUGUGGUCUAAACCACUGAGCCUCUUGGGCUUGCCGAUCAGAACGUCGGCAGUUCGAAUCCCCACGACGGGGUGAGCCCCCGUUGCUCGGUCCCAGCUCCUGCCCACCUAGCAGUUUGAAAGCACAUCAAAGUGCAAGUAGAUAAAGAGGUGGGAAGGUGAACGCCGUUUCCGUGUGCUGCUGUGGUUCGCCAGAAGUGGCUUAAUCAUGCUGGCCACGUGACCCGGAAGCUGUCUGUGGACAAACGCCAGCUCCCUCGGCCUAUAGAGCGAGAUGAGCGUGCAACCCCAGAGUCGUCCACGACUGGACCUGACGGUCAGGAGUACCUUUACCUUUUUUUUUACCACCUCCUGGAGGGGUGGGAUUACAUAGUGGGGUGCUGAGAGGCAAAGGGGCCAUGGGGAGAGGGUGCUGAAGGGGUCUAGGACUACCAGACUUUGAAAAUCUGGCAUCUCUGGCUCAAGUCCACCCAUUUCUUUGAAUUAAUUAAACUAAAUAGUUUUAACUGGAUUGUGAACUAACUGGUACUUUUUUAAUUUUACUGUGUUCUCUUCCCGCUAGUCUGAAUGGUGCUUUUAAUUUUAUUUAUUUGUCACAUAAAAUUUACAUACCGCUUGAUUGCAUAAAAGCCUCAAAGUGGUUUCCGAGAAGACAAUAACAUCAAGAAAAAUUCACGACCCUACUUUAAAAUGUACAAAAGUUAAAGUACUGAAACUUUAAUCCCAACUUUCUAAGCAUUUGAGCCAGCUUGUCUCAAUAAGAAUGCUUUUAGCCAGCCCUGAUAAGAGGGCACCUGCUUGGUCUCAAUCGGCAGUGAGUUCCAAAGUGCUUUGCGCAGCGGGAAUUUCACCCUAAAUCCGGCACCAAACACCAUGAACUUUGCCUGGGAGCAGAUUGGUAACCAGUGAGAUCUCUGGGCACCAAGCUCUUUAUAGGGUAGGGGGCUCAGGGGAUGGGUUUAUUGAACCGAGUGACUGGUGGCUAGAAAAAGUUAGGAAAUUGCUGGUUUAAGUCAGCUUCCUAUAUUCCUGAGCCCAGAAGUACUUGCUGCCCAGUAGCGGGCGUUCAGGUGUAUGGAACUGAAAGUUGCAAAUAAAAUUCAGUAAGGCAAAGGAGCUGCUAUGGAUGUGUGUGCUAUGAUUGAAGGAGGAAGCAGAGAGCUGCUCCCUCACUCUCCAAUUGCUGCACCGCCCCACUGUUGAUAAUCCAGGGGAUUAUCCAGGGGAGAGCAGACCCAGAUCCCGUUUCCUUCCCUAGCAAGGAAUAGUCCGCCCUUGCGAUGGGAGUAGCUGGAGUGUCGGACUAGGAGGCCCAACUCCUUGGUUAGUCGCCUAUUGCAGCUUUUGCCUAACUUCCAGGUGUUCCGCACUACAACUCCCAAAAGCUGGCACAGUCCCAGAGUGGUUUAACAGCCAACCCCCUUACCCAGGGAGCUUUGGGAAUUGUGGCUCAGGGGUGAGAUAGGGAGCACCCUUUUUUUGGGGGGGUGGAGAGUCGUUCACAGUGGUGUGAAAGUAGCCUGCCUUGAAGACCAACUUGUGUUUCAGUUUAAGUGUGGUUUCGGUCGGCUCAUCUUUGAAUGUGAAUGGAGUCAAAUUGCUCUCCCAUCCUUUGGAGAGAGAGAGAGAGAGAGAGAGAGAGAGAGAGAGAGAGAGAGAGAGAGGAAGGAGAGGGCAAAAAGAUCACAAACCCCCCUGCAAUGCAGGAAUCCUUUGCCCAGCUUGGGGCUCAAACCUACCACCCUGAGAUUAAGAGCCUUGUGUUCUACCAACUGAGAUAUUCCGCAGGGCUCUUGGCUGCCCUUCCUAGGCAAAUCCAGAUUUUUUUGCCUCGUCACCUUUGAGCGCCAGCGCGGCAACAUUGAACCAUCCGAACGGGAGUCCGCAGGUGUUGCGGGAGAAUGCUGGGCGCCCUGCCACAGCAAACACAGCUUACCUCUGCCCUUGAUAAUCACAGGUGGGUGUUGGAAGUGACUUGUAUGUAUUCCUCCUCCCCCCCCUCCUUUCUCUUAACAAGCUUUUCGGACGCUCCUACCGUCCCAGGAACGCACCGUGAGCGGCAGAAUUAAGGGGCUUGGGAGAGGCUGGCUUCUGGUGGGCAAGGGAAGAAGGGAGGAUUGAAUUGCAGGUGGGUGUGUUUCAGGGUUUGUUGUGCCGCUAAGCUCAGAACAAGAAGGCACCGUCAGGCCUAUGGGGGGUGGGGGGGCACGUUAACUGGAAAAUGCAAGCUACUUCCUCCCCAAAGCUCUUUCAGAGCAGAAGAAAGUAUCAACAGAAGUGGGGAUAUUAGAAUUCUCUCAAAUGCUGGGGAAGGAGAGCCAGUAGGGCAUCUUCUGUGAAGGGCAGGAUCCUAAUCAUCGUCGGAAAUGCAGGAUACAAAUGUUAGCGAAUGAAUGAUGAAGUUCAUUCCUCCUUAGCUUCCCUUCCUCUCCUGCCUAUGGCAGCAAGGAAGGUCGCGAGGCGGUGGCACGUUUUUUGGCCAUCCCACUAUUUAGAUUAGAUAGAAAAUUGUAGAAAGGCAAGAACUCUGGCCACUAAAGUACAAUUGUGUUGGACUAAUAGUUCAAAUGAUUCAAAUUUGUACUACUGCCUCUUUAAAUCUUUAUUAGAACACACCCAAUCUUUUCUUUAUAUAUUACAAACACACUCUCAGUCACCUACCUCUAAGCUACCAGUACAUGUUGACUUUCAGACUAUUUGGUAAGACUAUGUUCUUCUUAUACAUUUUUGCAUAAAUGUUUGUAAACCUUUUAGAUGACUUUAUAUUGCUUAUAUGAUAAUUAAUAUGAUAAGAGGGUCUCUGAUAAAUGUACAUUUAACUUUUUCCAGCUGAAGAAGAAUUUUUGAAACAGGGCCUUGUCCUGGUGCAUCCAUUUCACCUGGCAUAUAAGCUUCAAGAAAUAAAUCCAUCUAUAAGAAACUAUUUAAAUAAUUUGAAUCAUUUGAACUAUUAGUCCAACACAAUUUUACUUUAGUGGCCAGAGUUCUUGCCUUUCUACAAUUUUCUAUGUAAGCUUCAAUCAAGAACUGCAACUUCUUUAGCUAUUUAGAGGAUGUCAACUAGAAAUGAGUUUGAUUAUAGUCACUCGUUUCAACGCAAGGGCACCAUUUCAGAUUUCUUUUGGGACUCGGCCUGCUCUGGCUGAGCCAGGUCUGCAAAGCAGCCAAGUAUAAUAACUGGAGUUAUUAAUAACCGUGCUAUUAAUACAGGUAAAAAUAGUAAGAGGGCGGGAAUCACUUUUCCUUGGAAGCAGGGGGCUUUGUGUUCCUGCAUGCACACCUGUUCCCAUAAGCCUGUUUUCUUAUUCGUUAUGGCAGGUAGAGGGACACUCGGCAGGUAAUCAACCAGGCAAGAGAUAUGGGUGCGUCGGAAUCUUGAAACUGAAUUUACCUGGGAGUAAGUCUGCCAGUGGUCUUUAACUUCCAAGUACAGUGGUACCUCUACUUACGAAUGUUUCUACUUACGAACGGAGCUCUGUCCGCCAUCUUGGAUGCGAUUUAGAUAGUUUUUUUUUUCUACUUACGAAUUUUUAGAUAGGGUUGCUUUGACUUACGAUUUUUUUCUCCCAAUGCAUUCCUAUGGGAUUCGACUUACCAUUUUUUUUCGACUUACGAAUGUGCGUUCGGAACACAUUAAAUUCGGAAGUAGAGGUACCAUUGUAAAUGUGCAAAGGAUUUCGCUGUUCACUGAAUAAAUUAGGACCCUUGUGCUUCCCCUGGAACAUAACCCAGGGCCCAGUUUGCAUGCUGGGAGGUUGGAAUAUGUGAAGUAAUGAUAGAAAAGAGUGUCCCUGGGCAUGAAGUAUGUAGCUUCCAUUCAUUUCUAAGCCCGGCAAGCCCCUUGCACAGAGCAGGGCUGCCUCUUCACAGCAUUGCCGAUACGACAAGAAGCUCAGCAAACGGGCAUCGUAGGAUCCUAGAGUUGGAAGGCAUCCCAAGGGUCAUCUCGUCCAACCCCCUGCAAUGCUGGAAUCUCAACUAAAUCUCCAGGAAGUCUUGCCUAGUCGUAGAAAAGAAAGCACAGGGCGAAUUGCAAAUGUUCAAAAGUGACAACAGAUUGAUGUGAGAAUUCAUGCUCAGUGUAACAUAAUAUGUUUUCAUCACUGAUGUUCUGUCUUGUGCUUUUAAUGUUGUACACAGCCCUGGGAUAUUUUGACAAAGGGCGGUAUAUAAAUUGAAUAAAUAAUAAUAUAGUGAGAGGGAGGCAAAUAAAGUAGUAUACACACAGAAAUCAUGAAUCUGCAAAUUAGUAUGGUGAUUCAGACUGUUGUUCUAAAUCAUGGGUAGGCAAACUAAGGCUCGGGGGCCAGAUCCUACUACUACUGCCUCUUUAAAUCUUUAUUAGAACACACCCAAUCUUUUCUUUAUAUAUUACAAACACACUCUCAGUCACCUACCUCUAAGCUACCAGUACAUGUUGACUUUCAGACUAUUUGGUAAGACUAUGUUCUUCUUAUACAUUUUUGCAUAAAUGUUUGUAAACCUUUUAGAUGACUUUAUAUUGCUUAUAUGAUAAUUAAUAUGAUAAGAGGGUCUCUGAUAAAUGUACAUUUAACUUUUUCCAGCUGAAGAAGAAUUUUUGAAACAGGGCCUUGUCCUGGUGCAUCCAUUUCACCUGGCAUAUAAGCUUCAAGAAAUAAAUCCAUCUAUAAGAAACUAUUUAAAUAAUUUGAAUCAUUUGAACUAUUAGUCCAACACAAUUUUACUUUAGUGGCCAGAGUUCUUGCCUUUCUACAAUUUUCUAUGUAAGCUUCAAUCAAGAACUGCAACUUCUUUAGCUAUUUAGAUUAGAGGAUGUCAACUAGAAAUGAGUUUGAUUAUAGUCACUCGUUUCAACGCAAGGGCACCAUUUCAGAUUUCUUUUGGGACUCGGCCUGCUCUGGCUGAGCCAGGUCUGCAAAGCAGCCAAGUAUAAUAACUGGAGUUAUUAAUAACCGUGCUAUUAAUACAGGUAAAAAUAGUAAGAGGGCGGGAAUCACUUUUCCUUGGAAGCAGGGGGCUUUGUGUUCCUGCAUGCACACCUGUUCCCAUAAGCCUGUUUUCUUAUUCGUUAUGGCAGGUAGAGGGACACUCGGCAGGUAAUCAACCAGGCAAGAGAUAUGGGUGCGUCGGAAUCUUGAAACUGAAUUUACCUGGGAGUAAGUCUGCCAGUGGUCUUUAACUUCCAAGUACAGUGGUACCUCUACUUACGAAUGUUUCUACUUACGAACGGAGCUCUGUCCGCCAUCUUGGAUGCGAUUUAGAUAGUUUUUUUUUUCUACUUACGAAUUUUUAGAUAGGGUUGCUUUGACUUACGAUUUUUUUCUCCCAAUGCAUUCCUAUGGGAUUCGACUUACCAUUUUUUUUCGACUUACGAAUGUGCGUUCGGAACACAUUAAAUUCGGAAGUAGAGGUACCACUGUAAAUGUGCAAAGGAUUUCGCUGUUCACUGAAUAAAUUAGGACCCUUGUGCUUCCCCUGGAACAUAACCCAGGGCCCAGUUUGCAUGCUGGGAGGUUGGAAUAUGUGAAGUAAUGAUAGAAAAGAGUGUCCCUGGGCAUGAAGUAUGUAGCUUCCAUUCAUUUCUAAGCCCGGCAAGCCCCUUGCACAGAGCAGGGCUGCCUCUUCACAGCAUUGCCGAUACGACAAGAAGCUCAGCAAACGGGCAUCGUAGGAUCCUAGAGUUGGAAGGCAUCCCAAGGGUCAUCUCGUCCAACCCCCUGCAAUGCUGGAAUCUCAACUAAAUCUCCAGGAAGUCUUGCCUAGUCGUAGAAAAGAAAGCACAGGGCGAAUUGCAAAUGUUCAAAAGUGACAACAGAUUGAUGUGAGAAUUCAUGCUCAGUGUAACAUAAUAUGUUUUCAUCACUGAUGUUCUGUCUUGUGCUUUUAAUGUUGUACACAGCCCUGGGAUAUUUUGACAAAGGGCGGUAUAUAAAUUGAAUAAAUAAUAAUAUAGUGAGAGGGAGGCAAAUAAAGUAGUAUACACACAGAAAUCAUGAAUCUGCAAAUUAGUAUGGUGAUUCAGACUGUUGUUCUAAAUCAUGGGUAGGCAAACUAAGGCUCGGGGGCCAGAUCCGGCCCAAUCGCCUUCUAAAUCUGGCCCGCGGACAGUCUGGGAGUCAGCGUGUUUUUACAUGAGUAGAAUGUGUCCUUUUAUUUCAAAUGCAUCUCUGGGUUAUUUGUGGGGCAUACGAAUUUGUUCAUUAAUUUUUUCCAAAAUAUAGUCCGGUCCCCCACAAGGUCUGAGGGACAGUGGACCGGCCCCCUGCUAAAAAAGUUUGCUGACCCCUGUUCUAAAUUCACAGAGGAAUAUAACUCUUUGGUGGGUUGCUGUUGUGGAUCUUUUCCGAUUAAGACAAGGGUACUUUGUCUGCGGCAAUCCUGGUCGCUUCUUCCCCACUGCCCAGACUUUGUGCUUGCAUCCACCGUCCUGGGGCCAUCUCCAUGCCCUGGGAGUAAUGAAAGUUUCGGGAUAGACUCACUUUUGGAUAAUCAAGGCACAUGGCUUGGUGUGAGAGAAUCUUUGCCCUGGUUUUGACUUGUUUGUUCUCUCAGAGUGUGGUUUUAUGGCAGGAAGCUCUAGAACCCUCAAUGCUGGGGUUGGGUAGAUGAAAAGCAGGGCUUUAAACUUGCAGGAUUUCUUCUUCUUCUUCUUCUUCUUCUUCUUCUUCUUCUUCUUCUUCUUCUUCUUCUUCUUCUUCUUCUUCGCAAACAAGACUGCGUGUAGCAGGGAAGGUGGCACACCGCUUUGCAGAACACUUGCAUUUAAUCUUUUGCUGGAAGCUGGAGUGGCUGGGGAAACCCAGCCAGGGGUAUAAAUAAUUUAUUAUUAUUAUUAUUAUUAUUAUUAUUCGAUUGCAUUUUUCGCAGAAAAAGCCCCGCACAUUCUUUGAAGGUUUCCUGGGAGUUUUAAGAUGCUCUGCACGAUUGUUUUCUGAAAAUCUGUUGGCUUCAGCCUGCAUUUCCUUUGCAGAGAUGGAAUCAUAGAAUUGGAAAGGGACCCCACGGGUCAUCUAGCCCAGCUCCCUGCAGCUCAGGAGUCAUUGUGGCUUUUAUAAUUCUUCAUGAACCUUGCAAAAUAUUUUCCAGAAAGGUAGCCUUCUUAGUAAAAUCAGCCAAGCCUUGCAGCACCCUAGAGAUUAACCAAUUUAUUACGGCACACAGUGGCAGGUAUAUACACAAAAAAAAUUAGGUUGGUGGCCAUUAGUGUCCCCUGUGGGAGAGAGGUCCAUAGGUUAUAACUAUGCUCUGGGUACAGAAGUUGUUUAUUUUAUCUUUCCUGAAUCUUCCAUCAUCAUUGAAUGUCCACAAGUUCUGGUGUUACGAGGGAGGGAGAAAACUUUUAUCCAGCCACUAAAAGUUGCUAAGAGUAAACUGACAAAUAAAUUGAAAUCAGGCCCAUUGAUUUCAGUAGGUCUUCUCUGAAGCAAAACUCUGAGUAAAACUUAGUUGAAUUCCUGCACUGGAAUUGGAUUUGAUGUUCCUUCCAACUCUACAGUUCUAUGAUUCUGUGAAUGCCACCUGCAGAUUAAAAGCCCCUCAGUGCCUACGACAGUGAUGGCGAACCUAUGGCACGCGUGUCAGAUGUGACACACAGAGCCCUCACUGCUGGCACGUGCCCCAUCGGCCCAUUCACGUUGUUGUUGUUGGUUCUCCCCCCCCCCCCCCAAUUUGUUCUCCCGCUCCUUCUACAGCUUAUCUCUGCUGUUGCUGGUAGCCAGAGAUUGGUUUUUAACCCUUUCUGUGCUGUUUUUUCUGGCGCUUUGGCAGACUAUGAUUGGGUGUAACAGCGUUUGUUUUUUAACCCGUUCUGUGCUGGGUUUUUUGGCGCUUUGGCAGACUAUGUCGGUGCUGCGUGUUAGUUCCAGCGAAGGUAUUAUUCGUCAUUUAUUUCUGUUCUCUCCCCCCCUCCAAAACGCAGCAGUUUUGGGGCAUCCCCCCCCCCCAAAGCAAAGCAACUUUUGCACCACCACCCCCAAAAAACCUCCAAAACUUUGGUUAGCAGCUCCUCCCAAAAAGCUCAACAACUCUGGGCACUUUGUGAUAAAUAAGGGUUUUUUUGGUUUGGUUUGGUUUGGUUAAAUAAUUAGUUUUUGGUUUAUUAAAUACAGUUACUGUAUAUAUUACAAUUAUACAUUUUUGUUAUUUAAACUAUAAAUAUCGCUUAAUUAUGGUUUUUUUCUCGAAGUGACACACCACCUGAGUUAUGCUCGGUUUUUUGGUGAAUUUUGACACACCAAGCUUGAAAGGUUGCCCAUCACUGGUCUAGGAUCUAUAUAUCUCAGAAGGAGACCUUCCUCAUAUGAGUGGACAACUAUUUGUGUCCUCUCUGCUAACUUAGAACAAUUUCACUACACAUUUUAGAUGAGGGCACAGGGGGAUUUUCUGCACACACCAAAUUAUGCACAAAAACUGGAGAGGGGGAAAUAUCUCUGCUGAAACAUGCCCUGGGGGAAAUCCUUUCUUCUGGAAAAUUAAUUCUCGUCAAGUGCUUAAAAAACAUUUGCAAUGCCGAAAAAACGCUGUAGUGAAUCUCCUGUUUCCCUUUUCUAAAAUCAACAUCCUUUUCCGUUAGUCAAGUAUCAAUGACUGAUCCGAAUAAGGAUUUAUCUCCGUGGCAGGUGUGAGUGAAAUGGCUACUUGUGUCACUGCUCACUCCCCUUAGUCAAGGAGGCUGACAUGAAUCUGAUCUGAGUAAUAAAAGAUCUGAAUGUUUGCACCCUGCCGGAGCUACAUUCCUACUGGUCAGGUCAUCUACUGGAGGCUGAGACAGGAGGGUUUCGGGAAAGAAGGGGAUUUUGAUUGCCGGUCUUGUUUCCCUCCUAGAGAGUCAGAAGCAGUGUGGUUUGGUUAGAACUAUUAUUGCCAGGAAUGUAGCUUCAUCCCACUCUCGUCUCUGCAGAUUUCACAGAAAGCAUAGGGAAAGUUGGGAAAGCCACCGCCGGUCAUCUAGUCCAACCCCCUGCAGUGCCGGAAUCACCGGGAACCUUGCAAAAUUAUUUCCCAGUAAAACUAACCGAGCCUUGUGGCACCUUGAAGAUGAACCAAUUUAUUAUGGCAUAAAGUUUUGGGAACUACGGUCUGCUUUCUGGCCACCGCGCAUGCUGAAUUAUCCUGAGCGGCAGGAACACAUGCGCACUUGGUUUGUGAUGCUUGUCUGCAGUGAGGUCAGAGGCAAAUGAAAUCAAUAAUGUUCAGAGACAGUGAUAACUAUGCAGCUGAUGGCCGAAAUUUGCAAGACAGUCGUUGAUCACGCUGACAGCCUGGCAUGGGCAAUGAACGCAUUUCACGUGUUAAAUAAACGCAUUGUCCUGAUUUGGCCCACAUGGGUGAGCACUUAUGAACUGUAGUCCAGUGAUUUUCCAUUGCAGUUUUCCCUUAGAUGCACAUUUUCUUGGGUCUUUCCAGUGGGUCAGUUGCAGAACAUUUCGUGAGGCUGAAAUGCCCCCUUCCCGCAUUGGCUUUUGAAUGUUGCCGUUUCGGAUGUCCGAUUUGUGCCUCUUUGUCCUUUGCGCACAGGUCCUGACCUGUCCGCCCUCUGUAGACUGCAAAACAAUGGCUUAUUACUGCAUUGGAAGAUGAUAAAGCGAACUAACCCCUGAUGCUGAGGAUGACAUUAUUAGGCUAUUUGGGCAAAAGGUAUCGGGGACGGGGGGCUCUUCCAGGUGACCUAUUUAUAGAGCAUUUCUCCAAAUCUCCUUGCAGAAAGCUGGCAUGGAGGUUAGAUUAUAUCCGCUUGUUCUGAUUUGUUUACAAGGCGGUUAUACAAGCACCGGCCUUCUCGCCCUGUGUUCAUCCAGAUUUGCUUGUGGGGUGUUUCUUCGUCCUCCCGUUAGUCAUUCGCCCAUCUCACACACUUGCUGGCGCAUUUAUUUCUCCCAUCGCUUUCCAAAGCACAGCGAGUUACGUUUCUUCUUCUUCUUCUUUUUUUUUUUUUUUAUUAAAGGUUUUCUCAGUUUACAAAGACAUGGGCAGUGGCAGGAGUAAACAUGGACCAAUGGUACCAGACGGUAUGGGAAAUAGCCCUAUUAGAAAAAUUAACCAAUAAGUUGAAAUUGACACGGGGUCAAAUAGAAGAAGACGGCUUCACCCCAGUAUGGUUCCCCUCUUCUUCUUCUUUUUAAUGUGGAUUUGUUAUGUCAGAGCAACAGAGCCGUUUCGCCCAUUUUAACCGAGGAAACCGAAAGUUCUGGUAUGCUCUUGAAUCUGUCCCACAAAAGAACGGUGGUCUGGAGGGGACCCUUAGGCUACCUUUGCACCAUGCAGUAGAUGUGCCGUGUUGCUGCUGGCAUCCGUCUGUCUCGAGAGACGAUAGAGUGUGCCUCUUGAAGUGAAGCCAAACCGCUGGAUUAGCAGCACUUAAGUGACCUCCCCGGGGCGCAGGCCUGGGCAGUGUGCAUGGAGGUCCUGGGCUGCCCAGAUGACAAGACCCUCUUCUCAGCCUCACUGAUGUGGUCCAAAGGAAAGCAGAGCAAGACGUUUGGCACCAUCUUGGCUGCAAGAGUUGCCAGAAGGAGGCAUACAAGGCGCCAUCCAACCAUCUUAGGGACUCCAUUCCAGAUUUGUGUAGAGUUUGCUCCUUAGCCCUUUCCUGAAGAUAUCCCACAAGGCUUCUCCAAAUAAUUCUGAGAACUGUAGUUGCUUAAGGCAGGCAUAGGCAAACACGGCCCUCCAGAUGUUUUGGGACUACAACUCCCAUCAUCCCUAGCUAACAGGACCAGUGGUCAGGGAUUAUGUUGUUGUUGUUGUUGUUUAGUCGUUUAGUUGUGUCUGACUCUUCAUGACCCCAUGGACCAGAGCACGCCAGGCACUCCUGUCUUCCACUGCCUCCCGCAGUUCGGUCAAACUCAUGUUGGUAGCUUCGAGAACACUGUCCAACCAUCUCGUCCUCUGUCGUCCCCUUCUCCUUGUGCCCUCCAUCUUUCUCAACAUCAGGGUCUUUUCCAGGGAGUCUUCUCUUCUCAUGAGGUGGCCAAAGUAUUGGAGCCUCAGCUUCAGGAUCUGUCCUUCCAGUGAGCACUCGGGGCUGAUUUCCUUAAGAAUGGAUAGGUUUGAUCUUCUUGCAGUCCAUGGGACUCUCAAGAGUCUCCUCCAGCACCAUAAUUCAAAAGGGAUUAUAGGAGUCCCAAAACAUCUGGAGGGCCGAGUUUGCCUAUGCCUGGCUUAAGGGAUCUGAAAGUUCUUAGGUGACCCCAAUAUCCCUCCUAGAGCUACAAUUCCCAGAGUGGUUUAACCAUCAAUCUGUCUCCAUGGGGAGCUCUGGGACCUAUCCAAGCCUUGAGCAGACCCAGCAACCUUGUGUGACUUCAGACCACACCUUGAGACAACACAUAUGGUCUACCGUUUAUGCCUGAGACAACUGAGCUGCACACGGAGAACAGUAUCAGAAUGACGCCAAGUCGCCCAUUUAGCAGGGACAGCCCGUAGACCUCGAUGCCUCUGAGGGCUCUGGUGGAGGGGUGGGGAACCUGUGGCUCUGUCCAGGUUUUGUUGGGCUCAAGACAUUCCAUCGGCUCCAGCCGGCAGGGGUCAGGGAUGAUGGGAGCUGGAAUCCAAGAUCUCUGGGACAAUCGCAGGUUUCAAGUCUCUGCUCUGGUGCUUGGAGUCUUUCCUCAGAACUUGUUUGCCAUUGUCCGAGGAUGCUGCUGCUUUUGCUGCAGAAGAUGAACCCGUCUCCCAUUCUGGAAUAGGAUGAGUGUGCUUGUGUGCAUGUGCAGAGUGUGUGUGUGUGUGUGUGUGUGUGUGUGUGUGAGAGAGAGAGAGAGAGAGAGAGAGAGAGAGAGAAUGAAAAUAAGAAAAUAUGAAUGACUGCAGUGCCAUUGCACAGAAAAGCAAAUAUUGCCUUGGCUCUCAUUGACAACCGUGUUAAGAGAGCAGUAACAUCUCUCUAGAUCUGUUAAGGCUAGUUUUGUGUUGCCCUCGCCAGAUCUACUCCAAGUGAAACUUCUUCCAGGCACAAACUCGGAAACAAACAAGCAAAAAAACAAACCCUGCUCUGUAGCUUUUGGGAGUGUUUCAGAUUUGACCUAGAGAAAUGCUGGCUGAGGACUGUGGUGAUUGGCUAGCAUCUGGGACAUCACCAACACAGCACUUUCUUCCCCACCAGCCCCCAAUUCUCAAAGCAGUUUUGCAAAUAAUUGCAAAAGAGAGAGAGAUGCAUGCAAAACAAAUGGUUGCUUUUUCCUUAUCUUUUUGCUCCAGUGGCUGUCCCACCCACCCCAAACUGCUAGGGAAGCUUCCCUUCCUGGAGCAAAUAGCAGCUGUUCGCGGAGAGACCACUCUCAACAGGAUACGCUGGGAACCAUCCCCGUUCCCACUGUCCUAGCUGCAAUUCCUCCCCUGGCCGCACCUGCUGCUUAAAAAUAAAGCAAAUGAAAGGAAGGCACCACAUUCCAUGCCUCUAGUUCGGCCACAUUAAAAGCAGGGUGUGCAAAACCAGGGUUGUCGGUGGAGGCCAAUUUGUGCAAGCAUGUCAGAACCAGGGUGUUUUACUCCCAUGUGCAGAUUCCCAAGUACUUUGCACUCCUCUGCAGUGUGUGUGUGUGUGUUGUUAUUUUAUUCAUUUAUUCCUCGUUGCAUGUCUGUCCAACUUUCCCUCCCAAGUUGCUCAAGGUGGCGUAUGUCGUUCUCCCUUCUCCCCCGCCCCAUUUUAUCCUCACAACAACCCUGUGAGGUAGGUCAGGCUGAGAGCGAGUGACUGCUGCAAGGCCACUCGGCCAGCUUUGUGGCUGAGCGGGGCUUUGAGUCCUGGUCUCCCAACGCUCUAACCACUACACCACACCACCUUUGGUUUUGUCUAUAUGUAGCAGCUGCACAGAAAACGGCUUUGUAGGCCUGGCUUUUAUUUCAUAGCCUGCCCACUGUCUCCCUCAUAGUGCCACAAACACCUUCCAGGUGUGCUAGUUGUCACAGCGUCACCACAGUCACAGGCUGACCGCUCUGCCUUUCAGCAACCCACUUAACCAUCCCAAGACACUGAGUUAAUUCACCCCAAGCUUUAGCCUUCUCCCCCGCCCCUUAUCUGAACCUGAAAAGAGUUAAUCUCAACACCAGCAGCAGCCCAGCUUCCAAUUUAAUUCGCUUCUUUUCGUUAAUUAUUUCUCUCAUCACGCACAGGAAAGAUCUCAUUUUGUGGGGUGGGGUGACACUUAUCUCCCCCAAUACUCUCCCCUCCAUUGAUACUUCCAACUGCAGCGACUCCGAAAGCAACUUCUUAGCACCAGACUUUUUGCAGUUCACCCUCUUUGUUUCUCUCCCCCACCCCCCUCUUUCCCCACUUUCCUUUUGGUCUUUCCUUCCCUCUCUCUCUCUCUCUCUCUCUCUCUCUCUCUCUCUCUCUCUCUCUCUCUCUCUCUCUCUCUCUUGGUUUGUGGAAUUUUCCUGUGCUCUGGGCGUUGCCAGGAUCUUGCAUUUCUCGGAAGCGGCAUUGCACGAGAGCCUGAGCAGCUACUCACUACGAAACAUGCACUGCCUGCCCCCUGACUAAUAUCCUUCGGUGUUUAGCUGAGGGCUGACUCAAAGCGAGGGGCUGGCAGAUGCUACAUCAUUACGGCUGCAGAGUGCAACCCAGGUUGGAAUUUCCAUCAGCGCGGGGGGGGGGGGAAACGUGGCUCAGGGUCCCCCAGCGACACUCAGUAACCCCGGCAGGAGGGGUUGGAAGGGAGAGGAAAUAAAUGUGCAAGGAGUCAUCCUGUGGUCAGGAUGAUUCAGGAGUUGUUUCUGUUAGUGGUCAGCGAGGCAAGUGGCCAGUUUCAUUGCUUUUGUAUGCUAAUCGGAGGCCAAGUCAUUUCCCCUGGGGAAUCUGGCCAGAGAACCCGUUUGUCGGAUUCAGAAAGCUGCGAUUGUCGUUUGCAAGGAGCGAGUGUUCCGGGAGCCUCUGCAACAUAUGGCAGGCAGGUUUUCUAGAUGGGGGAUUUCGUCGCCGCCUCUGAAUCAGAGCGAAACUUUCGGAAGCAGAAGAAAAAUGAAAGUUGCAUGCUGAUCUACUGAACCACACACACACACACAGUGCUUGAUUGAAGCAGCUGCAUUUUGAGACAGAAGCAGCACUGGUUUUUAGAAACCGAGAAUGGAUUUUGUGGAGCCCAAAGGUGGAUAAGCAUAGGAGCUCUCCUGUUUGCUCGGUGGGAAAGAAAAAGGAUGCCCAGGCUCAUCUCGCCGAAUCAGCCAAUGGAGUGCUGAAAGCUAAGAUCAGAUUUUGGGAGCCGUCCAGGAGCACCGCCAGCAAAAGGAGAAGAGUGCGCAUGCCAGGCAGCAAGUGGAUUUGGUGCCUGAGAUGAAAUGAACUUGCUGCCUUUGUCCUCACGAGGACUGCCUAGGAUCCCAGUCGCUUGGCGAGGGUGGGUAAGUCAAAAUGCCAUUUUAGUUCUGGACCCGUGUUGAGAAGCUUGUUUAUUGGUUUUCUGUCGUUUGCACUGCACGCUUUCCAGAUGCUUUGCAACCUUGGCGGCAUUUCAAACAGUCGCUGUGAGGAAGCUUAUCUCUGUCCCCAUUUUAGAGGCAGACAACUGAGGCUGAUGAGUCGGAUUGCCUACGGACAGCAGGCUUUCUCUCCUCCCCUCUCCCCUGUCUCCCUCUGUUGUUGCAGUGUGACUAAUUUAGCUCACAAUCGUAGACUACUUGUAGAGUUGGAAGGUACCCCCGAGGGUCGUAACCCCCUGCAAUGCAGGAAUAUUUUUGCCCAACGUGGGGCUCGAACCCACAACCUUCAGAUUCAGUGUCUCGUGCUCUGCAGACUGAGCUAUCCUGAAGAUGGAGGAGUAGCAUGCUUUAAAUGGCGGGGUGAGUGUUGCAUAUCAGGUCCAGGGAUUAAAAGAGACCUCUAAUGUAGAACCACCAGCCUGCCAUAGGUUGCCCUUUCUGGUUUUUCCUAAAAUCGGAACCCGAUUCCCACGUAGCUUAUUUUCCAACGACAAUGCUUACAACAGGGCGGUUUUGUUGCCAUUGUUCUUUUCUCCUUCCUGGCUGCAGCUGAGCAUCCCAAAUCAUUUUGCAUGAUUCUCGCCACAGCCCUACAAAUGUUCGUGUGUCUGUAUUGCAGAUGGAAGAUUGUGGGGGGUGAGAGGGCAGCCGUGGAGAGCUCAGGGCUUACCUACAGCUUCCUAAAGGUGUAAUGCAAGAUUUGGACCCCAGUAAUAAAACAAUGCGGGGGGGGGGGAGCACGUUUUGCUCUCUGUAGCUUGCAGCAGAUGCUUCCCACAUGGAGGGCUCAUUGCGAUAGACUGGCUGGCUUUGCAUGUGGAAAUUUCUGGCUGUUCCCAGUGCAAGGGGGCAGGUGGCAGGAAGAACCGUCCUCUUGGUAUCCUAGAGAGAUGCUUCUGCUGUUGCUCAGUCAGUCCUGGCCAAGACAGCAAUGCUCUGACUAAGGAGACCUUCAUGUGACCAUGUGCUGCUUAGGUCCUACAUCAUGCAUCUUCCUGGCCAUGGAGUCCCUUGCUCACUUCUCCUUUCUCCUUCUGUAGGAUAUUCUGACUUGGACAAUGCAGACUAAUCUGCUGUCUCCUUUGCACAGAGCAGCUCCUAGAUAUUCAGGGUAUACGGAGUAGGGAUGAGCAAAUCAUUCAGUUCUUCACAGUUUCACAUUGGUCUGCAAUUUUUUAAAUCAUUGUGAAAAUUCACCAGCCUUUUAGCACACGUUUAACUUUAACAUGUUGCGGGUGGCGCUGUGGGUUAAACCACUGAGCCUAGGGCUUGCCGAUCAGAAGGUCGGCAGUUCGAAUCCCCGCGACGGGGUGAGCUCCCGUUGUUUGGUCCCAGCUCCUGCCAACCUAGCAGUUCAAAAGCACGUCAAAGUGCAAGUAGAUAAAUAGGGAUAAUGGCGGGAAGGUAAACGGCGUUUCCAUUCACUGCUCUCGUUCGCAUGCUGUUUUUGCUAACAAAGUAAUGCAGACUUUACCCCAAUUUAGGCAUUUUUGUAACCAAAAUUGAGAGAAGCACGAAUUUCAAAGGACAGCUGUGUUUUGAGUUUUUGUAUUGUUUGGGAAAGCGAGUUAGACUUGCUUUAGAUGCACUUUUAAAAUGUGAACUGAAUCUAAUUUCUCCCACUAACAUUGAGAUAGAUUUUGGUUCAAGUCUCUACAACUUCUUUGUUUUUAUGCAUACUGUCUUAAUUCGUGGCCAUUUUAAGUUGUGUCUUGCACUCUCGAUUAUUGCUUUAUAUCUGAGCUGAAAUGCAAAAAAUUCUGAAAAGCCAAAAUUCUGCACUGCAGUUUCAGCCUCAAAGAGUUUCCAGGAAUUGUCUCACUAAUACAGUUUUCCAAGUAUGUACUGUACAAUCUGUUUUAUAAUUUGCCAAAAUAUUUUUAAUAUGACCUUGGAAUCCUAUGAUGCUUAAUUCCAGUAUUAGUAUUAGGCAAGUGCCUUCUUUGUCCUGCUUUCCAUGCCUGCUAAAAAGACUUUUGUUUAGACAAACCUGCACAGACGACAUGUAUGUGUGAUUAUGCACUUUGUUGACUGCGUUUGAUAGUGACAUGCAAUGGCACUUAGUAUUUAGAGUUUAGUUCUCGGCUAUAUUUGGCAUAUGACAUCUUAAGGAGAUCUCAGGUUUGGUGCACUAAAAACCCAAAUAGCCUUUUCAAAUCCUAAAAAGUGCACCUGGUCCAGUACUGUGACCAGCCAGAUCACUGUGAGAAACUCACAAGUAGGACAUACAGGAAACUUUCUCCCCCCACCCCCAAAAAACACAAUAAUUGGCCUUCAGAGAUAUACUGCCACUGAACUGGAGGCUCUAUUCUCCUAACCAAGGAUUUGCCAAGUUUUCCUUCCUCCUUCUUUUGGGCCCCAAGUCAAGACCGUAUUCUUCAACUGUGUGCUUGGUUCCCAAAUUAUGGAAGCGUAGGAUCUGCCUUACAUCGAGUCAGACCAAUUGCCCAGCUAGCUCAGUAUUGCAAAUACACUGACUGGCAGCAGCUCUCCAGGGUUUCAGAUGGGGUGGGGAGUGGAAUCCUGUCCUAUCUGGAGAGGCCAGGGAUUGAACCAGUGACCUUCUGCAUGCAAAGGAGAUGCUUCACCGGGUUUCCAGAGACAGGAAGCUGAGCAAGACUUUGAACUUUUGUUUGAGGCCCUGGUGAUCUGCUUCCAUUCAGAAGAGUAGACUAUACUAGGCUGUAUGGACAGGUGUGUGUGUGUGUGUGUGUGUGUGUAUAGAAUGCAGCCCAUAGUUAAACUGUGGAACUCUUUCCCACAAGAGGCAGCGAUGACCACCAACCUAGGUGGCUUUAAAAGAAGUUUAGAGAAAUUCAUGGAGGAAACGGCUGUUGAUGGCUACCAGCCACAAUAGCUAUGCUUUGUCUCCAUGGUUGGAAGAGGAGAGUUGCUCUUGUGCUCAGGUACCUCUAGGCCAUUGUGAGAACAGGAUGUUCGACUAGAUAAGGGGUGAUGUGAUGGCCAUGUUCAAAUAUAUAAAAGGAUGUCAUAUAGAAAGAGGGUGAAAGGUUGUUUUCUGCUGCUCCAGAGAAGCGGACACGGAGCAAUGGAUUCAAGCUACAAGAAAGAAGAUUCCACCUAAACGUUAGGAAGAACUUCCUGACAGUAAGAGCUGUUCGACAGUGGAACUUGCUGCCAAGGAGUGUGGUGGAGUCUCCUUCCUUGUAGGUCUUUAAGCAGGGGCUUGACAGCCAUCUGUCAGGAAUGCUUUGAUGGUGUUUCCUGCUUGGCAGCGGGUUGGACUGGAUGGCCCUUGUGGUCUCUUCCAACUCUAUGAUUCUAGAUGGUAUAAAGGUAAAGGACCCCUGGACGGUUACGUCCAGUCAAAGGCUCAUCUCCACUUUCAGGCCGAGGGAGCCGGCAAUUGUCCACAGACAGCUUUCCACUUCUGGUGCAACGGAACACCGUGACGGAAACACCGUUUACUUUCCCACCACAGCAGUACCUAUUUAUCUACUUGCACUGGUGUGCUUUCGAACUGCUAGGUUGGCAGAGGCUGGGACAGAGCAACAGAAGCUCACCCCGUCGCGGGGAUUUGAACCGCCAACCUUCCAAUCGAACAGAUGGACCAUGGACCUGGUCGAAGAAGCCUUUUCUUAUGUUCUUAUGAUAGCCUGGCCUGAUUUUUUUUUAAGCUUCCUGUACUUCUAAGGAUGUGGCCUACAGCAGUGGUUCUCAAACGUUCUUCUCUGAGCCACACUUUCAGAAUAAGAAUCUGCUCACACCCACACCAAAUUUUAUAUUGCUAAAAAACAAAAAAAAUACAUUGGAAAACACAGCCAGGGUUGUCCUCAGUGUCACUGGAGGCUCUUGCUCUCAUUUGGAAAAGAGAUCUACCCGUACAGGCAACUCCCCAUUCAUGUGUGUUUUGUUUCCUCGCGACACACACACACAUGGAAGGGGAAAUGGGGGACACCCAGUCAACCGAGCCUUGCUGUCACAGCUAACACAAGCAGGAAAGCUUCUGCCCCUCGUGUGAGCAGGAGGGCCGAGGAAGACUCUCCUGGAUGCCCCCCAUUUUACGCAACUCCGCGUACAUGCACAAGGGCCCGUAACGGAACCCCUGCAUAAAUGGGGAGUCGCCUGUAUCCUGCCAAUAACAAAAAAAAAUGGAACCAUAGAACUGUAGAGUUGGAAGGGACCCCGAGGGUCAUCUAGUCCAGCCCCCUGCAAUGUAGGAAUCUCAACGGAAGCAUCCAUGACAGAUGGCCAUCCAACCUCUGCUUAAAAACCUCCCAAGGAUGGAGAGCCCACCACCUCCCGAGAGAGACCGUUCCACUGUCAAACAGCUCUUAGUAACAGAAAGUUCUUCCUGUUCAGUUGGAAUCUCCUUUCUUGUAACUUUGAAGCCAUUGGUUCGAGUCCUACUCUCCAGAGCAGGAAAAAACAAGCUUUUCUUUGUUCUCUGAUAUUUGAAGAUGGCCGUCAAAGCUCCUUUCAGUCUCCUCUUUUGCAGGCUAAACAUCAUAGCUGUCAAGUUCUCCCCUUAUGUUGAAUAGGCUUCCUUGUGAGAAAAGGGAAAACUUGAGAGCUAUGCUAAACAUACCCAGCUCCUUCAACCAUUCCUCAUAAGGCUUGGCUUCUAGACCUUUGAUCCAUCUUGGUUUGCCCUCUUCUGCACACCUUUCAGCUUGCUCCAGUUAUUUGGAUACUAUACUAUACUACAAUAGGGACCCAGGUGGCGCUGUGGUUAAACCACUGAGCCUAGGGCUUGCUGAUCAGAAGGUCGGCGGUUCGAAUCCCUGUGACGGGGUGAGCUCCCAUUGCUUAGUCCCAGCUCCUGCCAACCUAGCAGUUCGAAAGCACGUCAAAAUGCAAGUAGAUAAAUAGGAACCGCUACAGCGGGAAGGUAAACGGCGUUUCCAUGUGCUGCUCUGGUUUGCCAGAAGCGGCUUUGUCAUGCUGGCCACAUGACCUGGAAGCUAUACGCCGGCUCCCUCGGCCAAUAAUGCGAGAUGAGCGCGCAACCCCAGAGUCGGUCACGACUUGACCUAAUGGUCAGGGGUCCCUUUACCUUUACCUACUAUACUACACUGAAAUGUUUAAAGGUUUCUUUGUCCUUGAAUCUCCCUGCCGUCCUCUCCUGCCACACCCUUUGAGAGCGGCUGAGCUAUAGUUUCUAAGCAACAUAAAUUAGGUGCCAAGUGCAACUUAUGGUUUGGUCCCUCUUGCUCAACAAUAUCCUUUUAGCCGCAGGAAAUUUUUUGUUGAGUUUCUGCACUGUUCUGCACAUUUCUCUAUUUGCAUUGGCAGCCAUCAAACGGAGAUCCGAAUUGGAGGCUCGACACCUCCAUGCCUUUAUCUUCAUUAUAGCUUGCAGCUAAAGGAAUACAAUUGCUAUUGUUAGCCACAACGGCUAUGCCCUACCUGCAGAAUCAGAGACAGCCUGCUUCCGAAUCAACAGUUGCUGGGGAGCAGCAGGAGGAGAGGGCUAUUGCUCUUAUCUCCUGCUUUGUGGCCGCCCUGUUGGGGCAUCUUGUUGAUGAUCGUAGAGAUCAGGGCAGUGGACUAGAUUGGCCUUGGCUCUGGUCCAACGGCGAGAGAGAGAGAGAGACUUGUGCAUUUUCUGCUUUUCUGCAAGGCUGAUCACGAACUGAGAGACAAGACGUGUGUCCUUUGCAGUCUGCUGGACCCGAGGCCAAGGUCUACGAUAGCAGUAAUGGCCGUGGAGGUUUUAUUAUAAGAUGGUACAGGAAGAGGCAAAGCGUCCCACGUUUUGGUUUUUCGUGAGAUCUGCCUCCGCUGCCCACAAAAACACUCCCUGAUCUUUGGAGAGGAAAACGUAAAGAGCAAGUUUCCAAGUGAGCAGAUCCACCAAAAGGAGUGGGCGUCAAGGUCACAGAGAAAGCCAUUCUCGCUGUGGUUUCUGCGCAGGCGGGAAAAGGCCCGAGAAAAAGGAAAGGGUGGAGGAAACUUGCUCGAAUUCGGCAAAUAAAGGGGUGUGGUAAGGCACAGGGCCACAUUUCUUAAUUUUAAUUAUACAUUUUAAAAAAAACAUUGUUUUGUCGCUGCUGCUUCUGCAGGUCCUUACAUGGGCUAACCCAGCCCAGCCUUUGCCAGCCUGGCUCCCUCCAGAUGCUCUGGGUGCUGGGAGUUCUAGUCCAAAAACGUCUGGAGGGAAUCAGGUUGGCAAAGGCCAUAGCUCCAGAAAAGGCCCGGCUCUUAUCACAGCCAGCUUCUCGGGACAUUUCCAAGGAGUCCUUUGCCAGCAGAACUGGAGCUCAGUACCCCUUAUCUCAAGGAGGAAGCUGUGGGUUUUUAUAGUUUUCGUGAUUUGUAACUGCCAGGUACGAACUGGGAUUUGAGGAUCAGGUUUCGUCAAGGGCGAUGCCAGCAGGAACAUUAAUUGCCAAGGAAGUCAGAGCCGGCCAUGAAAGGAGAUCUCUCUAGCCAUUCAUUGCCACUUGCCUACCUGCGUGGUGCGGGGGAAGAGAUAUCGCCCCGGGUUCGUUUAUUGCGGCGGUUUAAUCGUUAUUACUUAUCCCACACUGAUGGGCUCCUCCUGGCUAAGGUGCCCUCUCUUUAUUGAACACUACUCAGCAGGGUGGAUUCGAUUUAAGUCAAAUUGAUUUAAACUACGAUUUAAGUCACUAGUCAGUAAGACUUGAUUUAAACCAUUUUUUUACAGAAAGACUCAUUCUUGCUGGUAUAAUCUUCAUAUUUACAACCAGAUGAAGGUUUCAUUUUUGGAAUAAUAAAUUUUCAGAGUAGUUUUUGCAGUCAUAUCAAAAAUUUCUGAUUUGGUUAUACUAUUAGAAAUACAUAAGACAGAUAAUUACAAAAUUAUUGUGAGGUUUAAUCAGUUAACUGUUUCUAUUUGGGCAACUUUUCUGCUUUCUGCUGUACUUUAUUGGAAGGAGAAAUAUAAUCGUUUCCUUAAUAACAAUUUAAACUAUUUAACUACAACAAUAGCAUUAUAGCAUAUGUAUCCAUGUUUGUUAACUGAUGUGGUUAAACAAUUAAAAACAAUUUUAAAAAACAGACGGAGUUUUAGCACACAUGAAAAACGUAAAACAAACCCUUAUUUCCUUUGGACUAGAUUGCAACUAACAUAGAAAACUAUCUUUAGAAAUAUUUUUUCCUCCAAAAGCAUUUUAUUUUAAAAAUCCGAUUUAAAUAAAAAAAAAAUCUGAUUUAAAUUUUUUAAAAAUCAAUU